rnacentral:lncRNA from 1 species
CUUCUAAAGAUGAAAGAGAGCUAAUUGAGAAACUGGACGAGAAUGAGCUGUGGAAAAGUCUUUUUGAUGCUUUGAAAGAAAAGCGGUAUUUGGUAGUCCUCGAUGAUAUCUGGAGAAGCGAGGAUUGGGAUAUUCUUAAACCUGCUUUUCCACGAGGAAGAAAGGGAAGCAAAAUAUUGUUCACUACACGCAACAGGAAUGUAGCUUUACAUGCCGAUCCCUGCAACACUCCCAUGGAGCUCUCACCUCUUACAGAUGAUGAAAGUUGGAUUCUUUUGAGUAGGAAAGCAUUCCCCCUAAACAAGACAGAUUCUCAUAUCCGCUCUGAAGAAUUUGAGAAACUCGGAAGAGAGAUGGUGAAAAAAUGCGGAGGUCUACCUUUAGCGAUUAUUGUCUUGGGAAGCUUGCUAGCAAGAAAACAAUCGUUGGACGACUGGGAGACGGUUCACAGAAACUUUUUCCAUGGACACUUAAAAGGGCUCCAACAACUUGAUCAUCAAUAUGGUGCAGUGAACAGGAUUUUGGUUUUAAGCUACAAUGAUUUGCCUUAUCAUUUAAAACCAUGCUUUCUGUAUCUUGCUCAUUAUCCAGAAGAUUGGGAGAUAUCGAAAAAAGAGCUCAUUCGAUUAUGGAUCGCUGAAGGUUUUAUUUCACCAUUAUCGGGAAGCGAAGAAAUCUUGAUGGAAGAUGUAGGCGAACAAUUCCUAGAAGAGCUUAUAGAUAGAAGCUUGGUUCAAGUUUGGAGACGAGACUAUACUGGGACAAAGGUGAAAACAUGCCGAAUACAUGAUCUCUUGAGAAACUUGUGCGUGGGGAAAGCAGAAAAGGAGAAUUUCUUAAAAUUUAUUCAACCUUCAUUAAUUGAGAACUCUGAAAAUUCUGUUGAUGUGACCUUGGUAACAUCUAUGCCACGAAGAAUUGCUAUACAUCCUGGCAAAAGGGAUGUCCAUUUAAAAGGAGAGCAUCCACAAUUACGUUCUUUGCUGCUGAUUCAAGAAGAGGUAUUCAUAAAUUUCCAUAUUUCAAAUUUCAAGAACUUCAAACUUUUAAGAGUGUUGAAACUUACGAGGAAUGUUAGGAAAUGGCAUGUGUCAGGUGAAAUUGGUAAUCUCCGUCAUUUGAGGUAUUUGAGGUUAAAAUGCACUGGGAAAAUGAUCUUGCCAGGUGCUAUUGGAAAGUUGAAGAAUUUACACACUUUGUACUUCCAAUGCCUUUCUCGCAUUGUGGUUCCAAAUGUUGUAUUCAAGUUGGAACGUUUAAGGCAAUUUGUGAUUAAAGGGGAUGCAUAUCCCUGGAUCAAAAGUGGUUUCCAUUGGUGGCAAAGCUUUUCUUCAAAAAAUAUUGAAUCUUUGAAAUACAUGUCGGUGGACAAGAAGUUGAUUGAAAAUAAUGAGGCGCUUAGGUUGUUUCAUAUUCAGUGUUUAGGAAUAAUAUUCAAGAGUUCAGAAGAUGUUAAGUCUAUCCUACUAUUGAUGAUCAAAUUGGAUCGCCUUAGGUCAUUGUCUAUGAAUUUGUCUGUUGAAAAGUCAAGCUCAUUUUCAUAUCUAGACUUGGAACCUCUUUUUCAGUUUGGUCACCUUUCCAAAUUGAAAUUAGUAGGGCAUUUAAAAGAAGAUCCAUAUCAAAGCCAUCAUGUUUUGAAAUUUCUUCCACAAAGUUUUGUCAAAUUAACUUUACAAUGCUCCACGAUGACUCAAGAUCCAAUGGAAGUGUUGGAAAAUCUGCCUUGUUUGACAAUUCUUAAUUUAUUAAGUUUUGCAUAUGAGGGGAGAAAAUUGAUUUGCUCUGCCAAUGGCUUUCGUCAACUUCAAUAUUUUGGUCUAAAUAAAGCAACAAAUUUAGAAGAGUGGGAGAUACAAGAAGGCGCAAUGCCACGUCUCCGAAAUUUGAGUUUGAGCUUGAAUUUCAAACUAGAAAGGUUGCCAGAAGGAUUGAGGUAUAUUACUACUCUCCAAAAAUUGAUAUUAACAGCAAUGCCUUCAUCAUUGACAAAAAGGAUUGAAGUGAUAGGUGAAAAAGAAGGAGAGGAUUUCUAUAAAGUGCGCCACAUACCUUCCAUCCAAAUAUCUGAUAGAAUAGCAGGUAGGGGUUACUUUUACGUUAAUUCAAAGAUUACUUAUUUGUAAUAUUUUUCUCUCUUAAUUAUCUUUUUUUUUUUUUUAGCUUUAAAACUGGAUCCUUUGCAUAUCUAUGGCAGGUGAUGUGAAUAAUCAACUAUAUAUCAAUUCAAGUGCUAAUUUAAUCUUUAAUGUAAAUUCAUAAAAGCCUAUAUUGUUGAAACUCUCUCAAUUUCCAUGAUUGUUGGCCUGCCUACUUUUUCAAGUUAACUACUAAACUUCAAUGUUAAUUGCAACAUUGCUUUCCUUUGACCUAAUUUGGAUUAGUGUUCAUUAAAUAAAUAAAAAAUAUUUUGUUUCAAUUAAAUAUAAAAGAUACCUCAUUAUUAUUAUACUUUAAGGUAAAUAAUAGUCACCUAAUUAUUAGUGUUUUUUUUUUCACCCAACUAUAAAAAAUUACAAAUUGGUCAUUCAACUAUUCAAUUUUGUCAUUCGACGGUUGGUCAUUUUUUUUUAUCAUUCAGCCAUUUGGCUAACGACAACAACAUUUGAAAUUGACAUAAUAGCACAUUUAACCUUCAAUAUUUAUACAUUGCAUCAAUUUAGAUUUGAUUCUAAAAAAUCGAUCCCACAACGUUACACAUUGUGUAAUUUGAUCUUUUAUAUAGUUUUUUUUUCUUUGUAACCAUUCCACCUAAAAAGCUAAAAAAAUAAAUUUAUUAGCUAAAUUUGAUUAAACGUAUACAAAAAUACAAAAAAACAAAACUACAAAAAAUUUAAGAAUUAAUUUUAAUUUUCAUGAUUUCUGUAUUAUAUUCUUUUUAUCAUUAUUAUUAGUAUAGAUAAAAGAUGAUAUACCAAUUUCAUGUUGUUGCUGGUAGGGUUGGAUGCUUUCUUUCAUCUCCAAAUGCAAGCCUGCAAAGAAGCUCAACAUUAAUUGAUUGUUCAUCCAUUCAAGUUUAUGGAUUUUAAGGAAAGAUUUAGAUUUAAAUUUAAGAAAUUUAUUUAUUACUAUCUUUGAGUUAAGACAAAUUGUAGCAGUAAUUUCAAAAUGGUUGGUGCUGCAAAGAAGUAAAUUUGCAACAUGAAAAUAAUUUAUUUAUCAACUUUUUAUUUCAUCGAUUUAAUCUAAAUUUUUUAAAAUAGAUGAAGCUCGUCAACGCAUUAUUUUAACCACAAGGUUUAGUGGUGGGUUUAGAUGGGCGAUUGGGAAAGGGAAGCAAAAUAUUGUUCACAACACGCAACAGGAAUGUAGCUUUACUUGCCGAUCCUUGCAACACUCCCAAGGAGCUCUCACUUCUUACAGAUGAUGAAAGUUGGAAUCUUUUGUGUAGGAAAGCGUUCCCAAGGAGCAAAAUGGGUUCUCAAUGCUGCUCAGAAGAAUUUGAGAAGCUUGGAAAAGAGAUGGUGAAAAAAUGUGGAGGUCUGCCUUUAGCAAUUGUUGUGUUGGGAUGCUUGCUGGCAACAAAACAGUCAUUGGCUCAAUGGGAGAUGGUUCACAAAAACAUCCAUGGACACUUAAAUGAGCUCCCACACCAAGAUCGUCAAUAUGGUGUAGUGAACAGAAUUUUAGUUUCAAGCUACAAUGACUUGCCUUAUCCUUUAAAACCAUGCUUUUUGUAUCUUAGUCAUUAUCCAGAAGAUUGGGAGAUACCAAAAAAAGAACUCAUUUGUUUAUGGAUCGCUGAAGGUUUCAUUCCGAAAACCGAAGAAUUCUCGAUGGAGGAUUUAGGCGAAAAAUUCCUAGAAGAGCUUAUAGAUAGGAGCUUGGUUCAAGUUAGCAGGCGAGGCUAUACAGGAACAAAUGUCAAGACAUGUCGAGUGCAUGAUCUCUUUAGGGACUUGUGCACGAAGAAAGCAAGAGAGGAGAAGUUCUUGGAAAUUAUUCAACAACCAUCGGCUGAAUUGGAUGUGACAUUGGCAGAACCUAUGCUACGAAGAAUUUCUAUUCAUCCUAGUGAACGGAAAGUUCAUUUGAAGGGAGAGCAUCCAAAAUUACGUUCUUUGUUGUUGCCUGGAAAGGAGACAUUGCAAGAAUUGUGCAUUUCAAAAUGCAAAAGCUUUAAAUUUUUAAGGUUGUUGACUCUUCUAAAAAGGUGCAACUACAAAAAGUGGCAUGUGUCGACUGAAAUCGGUAAUCUCUUACAUUUGAGAUAUUUGAAGUUAGGAUGCCGAUACAGAAUGAUUUUGCCGCCAUCUAUUGGCAGGUUGAAGAGUUUGUACACUUUAUACAUCAAGUUUAAUUAUGGCGUUGUAAUUCCAGAUGUCGUGUUCAAGUUAGAAAGUUUAAGGCAUAUUGUAUUAAAAGGGGGGGCGGAGUGGAUGGAAAGAGGAAUUCCUUUGCGGCCAGAGUUGAUCACUUCAAAAAAUAUUGAAACUUUGAAGUCCGUAGUGGUGGAUGAGAAGCCUAUUGAUUAUAAUGUGGUGUUUAGGUUGACUAAUAUUCAGAGUUUAGGAAUAGUAUUUGCAAGAAUAAAAUAUCUGAAGCCUAUCCUAAUAUUGCUAGCCAAAUUGCAACGUCUUGGGUCAUUGUCCUUAGAGUUUUUAGACCUUUCAUACCCAUCAUAUCUAGACUUAGAACCCCUUUCUCAAUGUCAUCAUCUCUCCAAACUGAGAUUAAUGGGGGCGAUAGAAGAAGGUCCAAAUCCAAGGCAUCAUGUUUUGAAAUUUCUUCCUCCAAAUAUUGUUAAAUUAACUUUGUGUGAUUGUAAGAUGAGGCAGGAUCCGAUGGGUGUAUUGGGAAAGCUAUGUCAUUUGAGAAUUCUCUAUUUGUUUAAAACAUAUAAUGAGAGAAAAAUGAUCUGCGUUGCCAAUGGGUUUCCUCGACUUGAUUCUCUUACAAUGAUUAUUGGUCUAAAAGAGUUAAACGAGUGGGAAAUAGAAGAAGGCGCAAUGUCAUGCCUUCGAAGAUUGGAGUUGGCCCAUGUUAGUAGUUUAAGGACGCUUCCAGCAGGAUUGAAGCAUGUUACUACUCUCCAAGAAAUGAUAUUAACAUAUAUGAGUUCGUCAUUGAAAGGAUUAAAGUGAUAAAUGGAAGAGAAGGAGAGGAUUUCUAUAAAGUGCGCCAUAUUCCUUCCAUCCACAUUUGAUCCCAAAUAGUUGGAGCCAACAUCACAUGAGGUAUUUAUUUAUGUAAAACAAUAAAAUUUCUAUUCUUUUUCUUUUCCUUUCACCCAUAUAAUUAGAUACUGAUAUAAAAUCAGUAAAAUAACAGAAUAGAAAAAUGAUCAUCUUUAAUUAACAUAAAAAAUUAUAAUUAAAAUAUAAAAAAUAAGGAUUUCUAAUAUUUUUCUAGAAAAACUAAAAGACUAGUAUCUUGAUGAGAAGGGAUUGUAUGAAAUUAUGAUUACACAUUAUUCCUAUCCUUUUCCAAUAUGAGAAUGACAAAUCAAUUUUUUCUUCUUGAUUUUUAGCUUUUUUCUCUUAAAAUUUAAAUCCAACUAAAAAUACUAAAAGUUUGAACGAAAAAUCUGAUUUAUCAUUCUUCUAUUAGAAAGAGAUAGGGAUAACGUGAAAUAAUAAAUUUAUACAAUCAUUUCUCUUUAAUUGAUAUGUAUAAGAGCUGAUGAUAUAUAUAUAUACAUUUUUUUUCUUGGUGCAGUUAACCUAAUCGACCCUGAAAUGUACUUCACUGGAAAUUCAGCUCAUCAAGUGUGUCUAUUUUUUUUUUUUUAGGUAUUGGAUUGCUAUAUAAUAUGAGCUUGAAUGAAGUGAUUGUUUAUUAAUAAUUUGGUAAGAGUAUAUAGUUCUUAUGAUCAAUUAAUGUAUUCAAUAUUUUCUUCAAUUGUCUUUUAGCAUUAGUACUUGCUUCAAGCCACUAAAAAUCUAAAUUUAUAUGGAAGGGUUGUGAUCUGCUUAUACUAAAUUAAUCACACAGGAUGGUAGUUUCUUAAAUCACAGUAGAAGUGAGAGUCCACUUACAGUACUAUUUAUCAUAUGAUCAGCCGCUUCAUUUAAAGAUUUUGAAAUGUGACGGAUCUUUACUUUCCAAUAACAAAAAAAUGAUCUAACAAAAAUAUUUAAGAUUUCUCAUAACAGGAAAAACUUAUUAAUAACAUUUUUUUUCAUUUAAUAAUGUAUAAAACAGAUUCAUGCAUGCCUUAGUUUACAUGGGACGAUCAUUAAAUUUCUUAUCAAAUCACCUGUUUGACAUAAUUUCAAAUCGUACGACAACUCAUUUACACUACAAUAUUAUAUAAAAAAAACAGUAAUUAUUAUCAAACCUUUAACUGUUUAAUCAAUUAUAUUAAUCAUCCCAUAAAGUUCAUUUUAAUUAAAAUAAUCAUAAAAUAUUAAAUUCUUUUUACUCAUUUAAUAUUUACUAAGAACAAACGGAUUAUUGAAUAUCUGAGUUUAAAAUUAUUUCAACUUCUACCUUCAACCAUAUGUAUAUAAUGAUGGCAUAUUAGCAAAGGUAAUCAAAAUCUAAAUUCACAGAAGUGCGUAAGAAAGUUUGUAUAAACAAUAAGAACUCUGAUAUAAGACAAGCCUACUGAUGAAACAGCAAUUACGGUGAGGUGAUCAGAAGAGGCAUUCACUAACCUGACGAGGUAAUGAUUAAAGGAAUAAGGCUUAUUACUUUCCAUUUACACAAGACACUUUGAAGUUGGAGCACAAACAAGCAAGCAGUGACAUCCAAUUAGUAUCAUUAGUUCCAUUAUAGAACAUGAUCUUUUAUAAAAAUACCAUUCAAAAUUCCAUAUCAAGUUAGAGUUCUUGAGGGAAAUAGAAAGUAAGUGCAAACUACAAGAACUUAUCAGGGCCUGGGUCUCUUUUUAUAUUAAAAAGUGAUAAUAGAGCAAAAGAUAACCAAACCCCGAAACAGUAAAAGGUUGUAGUUUUCCCCGAAUAUCAUAGAACACCACUCUACCAUUACCAGUACCAGCUGCCAGUGUCCAACCAUCAUCUCUAAAUGCCAAUGAAGAAAAAGGUGCCUCAUAAGAAAUGAAAGCUGAGGGUCUUCUAGACCCUGAGUCGUAAGUGUAUAGCUUCUUAUCCAACCCAACACUGGCAAUAAUCUGUCGAAAAGGAAAAAGAAAAUUGAAAUGUCAGAAUAUUUAACAAAUUUUGAAAGAUGUCUUAACCAUUAAAAAACAGAAACUUCCUUCAUCUCAACCUUCCAAAACAGCUCAGCCUAUUCCGUUAAUUAAAGCCUUAAUAAGGAAAAAAAGAAACAAUGAGACCUUAUCAUUGGAGGGUAAGAAACUAAUGCCGGCUGUUGGAGCAGAGUGCUGCUUCAACCAAGAGACCUGUAAAAGCCAGUGGAUUACAUAGAUGCUUAGAACAUCAAGAAUAUUGAGACAGAGAGAAGAGAACCUUUGGGUUACGACCAGUGGUAUUCAUAAAUGGACAGAUCCAGCACCAUCUGCAGUCACCACAAUGUGUCGACUAAUCGCGAAUAGUCAAGUACCUUUAGCUCCUCGUCUUAAGUCCAUCAAGGGAAAAUUAGCCUGCAAACAUGAAUAAGAACUUAACAUAAGCACCCAAAUGCUAGACUUUGUGCACCAGGAUCUUUUAAUUCUGCAGCCUUUGCCCCAAAAGCAAGGUUGUGAAGUAUCAGAUCCCCACUUAGGCUGAUGGAGACCAAGUGUUCAUUGUUGAAACCAUUUUUUUGAAGGUCGACUUUUUAUUUAAAAAUGAAAAUAGGAGUCGCCAUUAUUCUUUUUUUAUGAGGUGUGAACGGAUCAUCUCAUAAUUUGAUCGUUUUAAUAAACAGUUCGAUUUACUAAAAUAAUGUUUUUCGGUCUACAAAAAUCCAGAAAAUGAGUUUAGGAGUCGGUUACGCACGAGGAAGGAUUAACACCCUCGUUACGCCCAAAAUUGGUACCUAGUUGAUUACUUGACAUUUUUCGUGUCGAGAAUUGAAAAUUUGAGGAGAUUUUUAAAAUACGAUCCCUUUUGGCAUAAUAUUAUUAAGAUACAAUUUAAUUAAAUUAAAUGGAAAAUGCCUUAUUUUGAGUUAAUUGAGAAGAAAGACUAUGCCCCGUAAGUUAGGACACGAUACCUUGGAUUCUCGAAAAUAUCUUAAUUAAAAUCUCAUGUGUUUUAAUUUUAAAAGGAAUGUUCGGUUAUCUUGAUUCAAAGAGAAAAUCGAACCCUGUAAGUUAAAGCACAAGUUCUCGGAUCUCCAAAUACAGAAUAUUGCCUUAAUUUUAAAAAUUUUCCUUUUUUAUGUAUUGGGCAAAAAUUAAUGUGACACUUAAAAUGAUAAAUAUUUAAUUUAUUUGGGUAUGGCAUAAAAAAAUGGCUAAAAAGUAAUAAAGAAAAUGUCAUGCUUAGCAAGAAAUGAUAAUGCGACAUAAAUUUGUAGUAAUAAUGGUAUAAUAUGCAUAAUAAAAUAUAAAAUAUAAUAACAAUAAUAAAUCAUGAUACUAAUAUGCAUAAUAAAACAAUGAUAAUAAUAAUAAUAACAAUAACAAUAACAAUAAAUAAUAAAUAAUUUUUUAAGUUUAUAAAAAAUAAUAAAUAAAUAAGUAAGUAAAUAAAUAGUGGAGUAAUAAUAACAAUAAUAAAAGAUAAAGUAAAAUAAAAAUAUAAAAUAUAAAAAAUAAAAUAAAUAAAAAGAAUGCACAAUAAAUGGAAAAAACAAGCCAAUUUGAAAUACAAAAAAAAAAAAAACAAUAAAGGAGAUAAUAAGUAAAUAAAUAAGUGAAUACUAAUAAAAGUUUGAUUAAAAAUUGAAAUUAAAUAAACAAACAAAUAAAUCAAACAAAAUAAUACAUGAAACAGUUUAAAAAAAUUGAAGUUAAAUAGACUAAGAAUUGAAUUGAAAUCAGAAUGAAAUUAGGGGUACAGAUUAUAAAUCGUAAAAAAACUAAUAAAAUAGAAAUAAAGAUCAAAAUAAAAUGCGCAAAAAAUAACAGGGGCUAAAUGGGAAAUUAUUCUCGAAGUUCCUUGUGCGCACAGUUUCUAAGGACUAAAAUGAAAUGAAAAUAAAAUUAUGUGGUAAAAUUAAAAGAGAAAAAAUAAAUAGGACUGCAUUGUAAAUCGUCCAAAAAGCGGAAGGGCCAAAAGCGUAAAUAACUCAUACGCUAAGAAAACACGUGGAUCCUAGCUCUCGGGUCGGGUUAGACGCGGGUCGAGUCAAAACAACGCCGUUUUGGUGUCUGAAAUUAAAACCCAAAAUGCCGUUUUACAACCCCUAUUUAAGUCAAAAUUUUUUUUUAAAAAAUUCAUUUCAGCCUUCACAACAAAAAAAAUAAAAAAAACUUUUCUUUUUUUCUCUGAAAGUCAUCUUAGUCCGGCCAUAGCUUCGGCCAUCGGCUACUGUGGCGGCUGUCGGUCACCGACGAUGGCAUAGCCGUCCACGGUGGCCGAAAAAUGAAAAGUUCCCUUUUUUUGGUUUUUUCGACUUCUCGUGUCCGAUCUAAACCUCUUUUUUUUAAAAAAAUAAUAAAAAGAAAAAAGAAACCGUAAAAAAAAAGAAAAUUAGAAACUUUCGCCUCAUUUCAAGCCGUUACAGCCUUGCUCCGUCAAAGCCGAGGCCGAACCCUAAUGGGUUCGAGGAUCCGAUGUCGGAGACGGCCUCCGAGAACCAGGGAAGAUGAAGCGACGCAGGUAAUAAAAAUCGAUUUUAUACUUUUUAUUUAUUGUUUGUUUUCGAAAUAAGACCGAAGAAAAAAGAAUCACCUUUGUUCAUUUCUGAUUGCUUUUUUUGUUUUUGUAUAUAUUUAUCUGUAAACAUUACAUGGUUAUUUUUGUGGCUUUUAUGGCCACGAUUACACUGUUCUAUUACUGUUUAUACUACUAUUUGUUGCUUUUCUCAGAUGCUUCUGCUUUUUUCUUUUUUUUUUGUCCCUUUUUUGUAGGCGUUAGUGGUCAACGGAGGUUGGGAAGAGGUGCACUUUACUGUUUUGGUGCAAUGAGACAGAUGCGCAUCAGGCAAUGAGAAAUUGUCGUUUGGGCUAGCCUUGUUUAAGUCCCUAUAGUCUACACACAUUCGUAUUUUCUCAUCUUUUUUAAGGACAGAGACAAUAUUAGCUACCCAUUCUGAGUAUUUAACCACUUCUAAGAAACCAGCGUCGAAUUAUUUCUUGACCUCUUCUUUUAUUUUCAGCAAAACGUCGGGCCUCAUCUUUCGAAGCUUCUAUUGAACAGGCUUGCAGUCUUCCUUUAUGGAGAGCCGAUGUACCACGAUAUCAGUACUUAGCCCAGGCAUAUUUUGAUACAACCAUGCGAAUACAUCUUUGAAUUCUUUGGGUAACUCAACGAGGUUUCGCUUUGUCUCUGCGAUGAUGUAAGCUUCGAUCUUUACCUCUUUAUCUUCUCCUAAGCUUACAAUUUCUAUUGACUCUUUGUAAGGUAGGAUUUGUUUCUCAUCUUGUUCUACCAUCCUUAACAAAUCAGGAGAUAAACUAUAGUCUCGAUCAUCUUCAAAAUCCAUAGGUUCCUCUGGACACAUAUCUUGCUCAAAAAGAGAUUUUGAGUUAGUGGCAGCGUUACUCAUAUCAUUGAUAUCUAGAAACCUGUUAUAGGAACGAAGGAAGACCCAAAGAACAAAAAAAUCUAAGAAUAAUUAUUUGUAUGGUAUGAUUAUGAAUGAAAUGAAAUGAAUAAAAGAAUUUUUGCUCAAAAUGAGACACAAAGAUGCAUUUUAUUAAAAUAAAUAUGUUGGACAUAUGCCUUUUUCACAAAAGGAUUCUUAUUGCUCCCAGGCUUAGAGUAAUAAGUGUGUUUUGAACAUUACUCUGAAUUAGCUCUAAAAAUUACAGAGAUCUCUUCAGCAGUCCAAUUGUUCAAAACACUCCUGAGUAUAUAAGGGCAAAUGUCUGAUAAAUUCUCUUCCCCAAUUCCUUCUUCGGAUAUGGAAUUUAUGUUCAAAUUUCUUAACAUUCCUUCCGAGCCUUUGACAUUUUCAAAGAAUUCCAAGUCUUUGUUAUCCAUUAGACUUUACACCAAAACUUUGAAUUCAGUGCACUCUUGGAUUUCAUGACCUUCUUCAGCGUGGAGCUCACAGUAGCUCCUCAUCCCUUUGGGUAUCUCCUCCGAAUCCUAAAUGAUUAAUUUCAUGUCUAUCAUUUGUUUCAAAACCCAUUUCAGUGGGGUUUUUACUUUUGCAAUAUUGGUUUUGGUUCUCUUUCCUCUACUUUCAAUUAUCGCGUUUACCCCUAGGUCUGAAUGACUGGGUAACGGAUUUCUUGCCACAUUAGGUCCCGAUGGAUCGUUGAACUUCACGAUACCCAUCUUGAUGAACCUUUCAAUUAACUUUUUAAAUACAAUACAGUUUUCAAUUGAAUGUCUCGUUAUUCCUGCGUGGUACUCGCAUUGAGCAUUUGCAUCAUACCGAUUUAAGUUUAUGGAUUUUAAGGAAGGAUUUAGAUUUAUCCAUCUUAUAUAUAUUCUAAUUUAAAUUUUAGAAAUUUAUUUAUUAUUUCUUGUACUAGCUUUGAGUCAAGACAAUUAGUCAUUUUUGAAAUAGUCGGUGCUGCAAUGAAGUAAAUUUGAAAGAUGAAAAUAUUCAUUCAACAACUUUUUAUUCCAUCGUUUGAAUCAAAAAUUUUCAAAUAGUUCGCCAGCACAUUGUUUUAAUAAUAAGGUUGAGUUUUUAUGAAUUUUGAAAUUCUAAGUUUGAAAUCUACUUUAUGUAAAUCAUAAAUUAAGUAUAGUUUCUCCCUCAAAUAAAUAAUUUUUUUAAAUAACACUGUAAAAAUAAUAAUAAAUAAUUGAAGUAAACUACACCCAAGUUCAUUAAAUUAUUAGUAAGUUAACAUUUUGGUUAAUUAACUUAAAAAAGUUACAAAAUGAUCACUAAACUAUUCGAAAGUUUUAUUUAAGUCAUCGGGCUAUAUGGUCUUCAUUGUUUGCAUCCCCUACACUAAUAAAAAACUCUUCUGCCUCUGUUUUUCUAUGGUUUAGGUUUUUUUUUUCAUGAAACAACUUUAAACGUCAUAUAUAUACGAAUCAAAAUCCAAAUAGCUUUCUUCUCCGUUCUUCGGCACCGACCAUUAGAUUGUCUUGAUCUAAUAUAUGUUUGUCUACUCGUCGAUAAGUAUUGAUCCAUCGUAACAUUCAUCGAAUUGUCGCUCGAACCUCGCUAGCCAGACUUUAAAAAAAAAGAAUUUAAUAGUCCAAUGACUUCAAUAAAAACUUUUGAAUAGUUCUAUGACUUAAAUGAAAACCACUGAAUAGUUCAAUGACUAUUUUGUAAUUUUUUAAAAUUAAAUGAUCAAAAUAUAAAUUUAUUAAUAGUUUAGUGAUCUUGAGUACAAUUUACCCAAAUAAAUUUUUUUUUUCUUUUGGUCUUAUCCUAUCAAUUAUGAGCGUUCAUUAGUAAAGUGGUGGUUUAAUCUUUAAUGUAAAUUCACAAAGCGUAUAUUGUUGAAGCUCUCUCAAUUUCGGCCCGCCUUCUUUUUUUAAGUUAAUGGUGUUAUGUGUUAACUACUAAACUUCAACGUUAAUUGAACAUUGCUUUCCUUUUACCUAAUUUGGAUUAGUGUUCAUUAAAUAAAAAAUAUUUUGUUUCAAUUAAAUAUAAAAGAUACCUAAUUAUUAGUAAAUUUAAGGUAAACAGCACUAGUAGUCGCUCAAUUAUUAUUAAAUUUCCUUUUCGAUUGUCCAACUAUGAAAAGUUACAAAAUGGUAAUCUAACUAUUAGUAAAUUUCUUUUUUGUUGAUCCAAUUAACUAUAAAAAAUUAUAAAUUUGUCACUCAACUGUUCAAUUUUGCCUUUUUUGAGCACAAAUUGGCUAAUGACAAUAACAUUUAAAAUUGACAUAACCCUCAAAAUGUAUACAUUGCAUCAAUUUAGACUUGAUUCUAAAAAAUCAAUCCCGCAAUAUUUACACAUUGUAUAGUUUGAUCUCCUAUAUAGUUUUGUUUUUCUUUGCGACCCUUCCACCUAAAAAAGCAAAUUUAUUAGUUAAAUUUAAUUAAAAAUAUAAAAAAAUGGAAAUGCCCAAAAAUCUUACGUUAUAAUUUUAAUCUUAUAUUAUUAUUUUAAAAUUAACUCUUGAUGUCACAAAUAAAAGUAAAAUUACUAAAAAAAUGUAAUAAAAAUUAUUUUUAAAAAAUUAAGACUAAAUUAACAUAAUAUGUAAAUUUUGAGAAUUAAAUUUACUAUUGCACUAAUUUUUAAAGAUAUUAUCCUAUGAAUUAUUUUUAAAAUUUUGGGUCCAACUUGGACCAAGCUUUAAGAAAGCAAAGACGAAUUUUUGUAGCCUUAGCCUAGCCCCCUACUCCAAUAUUUCCCCACUAAUACAUAAACUAUUAAUAUUCCUCCACUAAUACAUAAUAUAUUCCCCCCCUAAUACAUAAACUAUUCCUCCACUAAUACUUACCGAUCAGUUUGAAAUCUAAUUAGGUAACAAAUAAUGGUUGAAAUUCAUCUGUAACAAAAAAAAAUGGAUAAAUAAAAAAAAUAAAUUUAAAAUUUUUUACUUCACAUAGUAUAGAUAAUUUAAAUUUUUUAAAAAAUUUUAAAAAAUAAUAUUCUAUCUUUCUUCAAUGUUAUUAUUAUUUGAGUAUGAUUCGAUGUUUCCUUUUCAAAGAAUCAUUACUUUAACAUUUCAUUCUUUUUUAUAUAAUUUUAAGUUAUUUUUCUUUAAUGCUACUUGAUUAAAUAUAUAUACUUAAUGAUGGAAUAUGUUUUUUUAUAAAGCUAACAUUAAAUUUUAAUUGGUAUAUAAUUCUAAUACUAAUUAAGUGAUAAUUAAAAUUAUUAGAGUUGUAUUCAUAUAAAUAAAAUUAGCACAUUUUUUAAAUAAAAAUAAAGUCAUCUUUUAUAAUAAUGUCAAAUUUAAAAUAUAAUUAUAAUAGCUAAUUAAUUAAGAGAUAAUUGCAUGAAACUAAAUCUUAUGAGUGCACUAGAAAAGCUGCCUUGUUUGAGGAUUCUUAGCUUACAGGAUGAAGCGGACUAAUAUUUAUCAUUAUUAUUAGUAUUGAUAAAAUAUGGUGUACCAUUUUCAUGUUAAUGUAGGGGUUCUUGGUGGUAGGGUUAUAAUUGGAUGGUUUCUUUCAUCUCCAAAUGCCAGUCUGCAAAGAAGCUCAACAUUAAUUGAUUGUUCAUCGAUUUGAGUUUAUGGAUUUUAAGGAAGGAUUUAGAUUUAUCCAUCUUAUAUAUAUUCUGAUUUAAAUUUUAGAAAUUUAUUUAUUAUUUCUUGUACUAGCUUUGAGUCAAGACAUUUAGUCAUUUUCGAAAUAGUUGGUGCUGCAAUGAAGUAAAUUUGAAAGAUGAAAAUAUUCAUUCAACAAAUUUUUAUUUCAUCGUUUGAAUCAAAAUUUUUAAAAUACUUCGCCAACACAUUGUUUGAAAUCUAUUGUAUGUAAAUCAUAAAUUAUGUAUAGUUUCUUCCUCAAAUAACUUUUUUAAAUAAUACUGUAAAAAUAAUAACGAAUAAUUGAAGUAAAUUACACCCAAGUUUACUAAAUUAUUAGAAAGUUAACGUUUUGGUUAAUUAACUUUAAAAAGUUACAAAACGACCACUAAACUAUUCGAAAGUUUUAUUUAAGUCAUCGGGCUAUAUGGUCUUCAUUGUUUGCAUCCCCUGCACUGAUAAAAAAACUCUUCUGCCUCUGGUUUUCUAUAGUUUAGGUUUUUUUUUUAUGAAACAACUUUAAACGUCAUAUAUAUACGAAUCAAAAUCCAAAUAGCUUUCUUCUCCGUUCUUCGACACCGACCAUUAGAUUGUCUUGAUCUAAUAUAUGUUUUUCUACUCGUCGAUAAGUAUUGAUCCAUCGUAACAUUCAUUGAAUUGUCGCUUAAACCUCGCUAGCCAGACUUUAAAAAAAGAAGAAUUUCAUAGUCCAAUGACUUCAAUAAAAACUUUUGAAUAGGUCCAUGAAUUAAAUGAAAAUCACUAAAUAGUUCAAUGACUCUUUUAUAAUUUUUUAAAAUUAAAUAAUCAAAAUAUAAAUUUAUUAAUAGUUUAGUAAUCUUGAGUGCAAUUUACCCAAAUUAAAAUUUUUUUUCCUUUUGGUCUUAUCCUAUCAAUUAUGAGCAAUGACUGCUGGGUGUUCAAAUAGUUGUAUUGGCCUACAAAUGUCACUCAUCAUGACUUUUCUUCACAUGUCAUUUGACUAUGGAAAAUCAUAAAAAAAAAAAUACAUGAAUGCAGCUAUUUAAUGUCACUUUCCUACAAAUUUAUUGCAUGAAUCUCUUGUGCUUUUGGAAUUUUGUCACCCAUCACUUUUUGUGUCCACCUAACGUUUUUUAAAAAUAAAAAUUUAUGACUUAAUUAUAAGUUGGAUUUAUUAAACUUUCUAUUUUGAAUUUCUUGUUAUUAUUCUGAAUUUCAUAAAUAAUAAUAAUUAAAAAAAAUUCCCCAGUUAAACUUCAGGUAGCUUCCUCCAAAUUUCCUAUUUCCGUCCACUUUGAACAUAUGCUAUUUUAUUUUAAAAAUUUAAGUCCCAACGAAAAAUAAUCAGCAACCUCACCCCCAAAAACAGCUCUUCAAAACUUCUGAUAAAGAGAAAUACUUCCUCCACUAAUACAUCAAAUAUUAUACAAUUAUUUACCGACCAGCAGGAGAAAUGGCAGGGGCUAUUGUGUCCUUAGUUGUUGAAAGAAUUUCUGAUCUACUCAUCCAUGAAGCAGUUUUCCUCAAAGAUAUGGCACAUCAAGUUGUGAGCCUACAGUAUGAACUGAAGCGAAUGCAGUGUUUCUUGGAGAACGUUGACCGUAAGCCAGAACAAGACGAGCGUCUCCAUAGUCUGGUAUCGCAAAUCCGUGAUCUUGCUUGCGAUGCUGAAGAUGUCAUCGACUCUUUUAUUCUAGAAGCAGCAGAUCAACGAGAUUCUCAUGGGAUUGUCAAGAGAUUCACCUCCAUUUUCACUAAACCUGAUCAUCUGCACAAAAUCAGGGUGCAGGUCAAAGCAAUCCAGACCAGGCUCCAAAACAUUUCCAAGAAUCUUCCAGCUUAUGAGAUACCCAGUGAUGGAGAAGACUCUAGCUCAGUUUUCAAGUUGCAGCAACGGUUAAGAAGGACAUACUCGCAUGUCGUGGAAGAGGACGUUGUUGGCUUGGAGGUUAGCACCAAGGAUGUCAUGACCAAGUUGAUGACUGAAGAAGAUAGACCCCACGCCGUCGUUUCCAUAGUCGGCAUGGGGGGCAUCGGUAAGACGACUCUUGCCAAAAAAGUAUAUAAUCAUCUUGAUGUGAGACGCCAUUUUGAUUUCUUGGCUUGGGUUUAUAUAUCUCAACAAUGUAAGCCGAGAGAAGUUUUGCUUAGUGUCUUGAUGAAAGUUCUCUCUCCUUCUAAAGAUGAAAAAGAGCUAAUUGAGAAACUGGACGAGAGUAAGCUGAUGAAAAGUCUUUUUGAUGCUUUGAAAGAAAAGCGGUAUUUGGUAGUCCUCGAUGAUAUUUGGAGAAGCGAGGAUUGGGAUAUUCUUAAACCUGCUUUUCCCCGAGGAAGAAUGGGAAGCAAAAUACUAUUCACAACACGCAAUAGGAAUGUGGUUUUUUAUGCCGAUCCUUGCAACACUCCCAUUGAGCUCUCAGUUCUUACUGAUGAUGAAAGUUGGAAUCUUUUGUGUAGGAAAGCAUUCCCAUCAAGCAAACUGGGUUCUCAAUGCUGCUCGGAAGAAUUUGAGAAGCUUGGAAAAGAGAUGGUGAAAAAUUGUGGAGGUCUGCCUUUAGCAAUUGUUGUGUUGGGAGGGUUGCUAGCAACAAAAUGAUCAUUGGCUGAAUGGGAGAUGGUUUACAAAAACAUCCAUAGACACUUAAAAGGGCUCCCACACCAAGAUCAAAAUGGUGUAGUGAACAGAAUUUUGGUUUCAAGCUCCAAUGAUUUGCCUUAUCCUUUAAAACCAUGCCUUCUGUAUCUUGGUCAUUAUCCAAAAGAUUGGGAGAUAUCAAAAAACGAACUCAUAAGAUUAUGGAUCGCUGAAGGUUUCAUUUCACCAUCACUGGAAAGCAAAGAAAUCUCGAUGGAGGAUGUAGGCGAACACUUCCUAGAAGAGCUUAUAGAUAGGAGCUUGGUUCAAGUUAGCAGGCAAGGCUAUACAGGAACAAAUGUUAAGACAUGUCGAGUGCAUGAUCUCUUGAGGGACUUGUGCACGAAGAAAGCAAGAGAGGAGAAGUUAUUGGAAAUUAUUCAACAAUCAUCGGCUCAAUUUGAUGUGACUUUGGUCGAACGUAUGCUACGAAGAAUUUCUAUUCAUCCUAGCGAAAGGAAAGUUCAUUUGAAGGGAGAGCAUCCAAAAUUACGUUCUUUAUUGUUGCCUCAAAAUGAGACAUUGGUAGAAUUUUGCAUUUCAAAUUGCAAAAGCUUCAAAUUUUUAAGGGUGUUGACUCUUUUAAAAAGGAACGUCGAAAAGUGGCAUGUGUCAAAUGAAAUUGGUGAUCUCCUACAUUUGAGAUACUUGAAGUUAGAAUGCUGGAACGAAAUGAUUUUACCGCAAUCUAUUGGCAGAUUGAAGAGUUUAUACACUUUAUACAUCAAGUAUCAUACUGACAUUGUAAUUCCAGAUGCUGUGUUCAAGUUGGAACGUUUAAGGCAUAUUGUAAUAAAAAGGAUUGCGUUGUUCGGAAGAGGAUUUCGUUUGCGGCUAGGGUUCACUUCAAAAAAUAUUGAAACUUUGAAGUACAUAAUGGUGGAUGAGCAGCCGAUUGAAAAUAAUGAGGUGCUUAGGUGGACUAAUAUUCAGAGUUUAGGUAUAGUAUUUACAAGAACAGAAUAUGUGAAGCCUAUCCUAAUCUUGCUAGCCAAAUUGCAACGCCUUGGAUCAGUGUCUUUGGAGGUUUUAGACGAUUCAAACCUAUCAUAUCUAGACUUAGAACCUCUUUCUCGGUGCUGUCACCUCUCCAAACUGAGAUUAGCUGGGGGGAUAAAAGACGAUCCACAUCCGAGCUGUCAUCUUUUGAAUUUUCUUCCACCAAAUAUCGUCAAAUUAACUCUGUUUUGGUGUAGGAUGAGCCAGGAUCCAAUGGGUGUAUUGGAAAAGCUAUGUCAUUUGAGGAUUCUCUAUUUGGAAGGAGUCUAUAACGGGUGUAAAAUGAUGUGCUCUGCCAACGGGUUUCCUCAACUUGAGUCUCUUCAAAUGAUUGGUCUAGAAGAGUUGAAGGAGUGGGAAAUAGAAAAGGGUGCAAUGCCAUGCCUUCGAAGAUUGGAGUUGGCCGAUGUUGAUAGUUUAGGGAUGCUUCCAGAAGGAUUGAGGUUUAUUACUACUCUUCAAGAAAUGAUAUUAACAAAUAUGAGUUCGUCAUUGAAAGAAAGGAUUAAAGUGAUAGAUGGAAGAGAAGGAGAGGAUUUCUAUAAAGUGCGCCACAUUCCCUCCAUCCACAUUAAUUGAUCCCAAAAUAUGAGUUGAUCCACGUUUUUUGAUCUAAGUAAUUGGAGCCAACAUCACGCGAGGUAUUUUUUUUUCUGUAAAAUAAUAUAUUUUUUAUUUUCCUUUCACUCAUAUAGUUGGAGAUUGAUAUAAAAUUAAUAAAAUAACCAAAUAAAAAUAAAAAUAUUUAAUUAACAUAAAAAUUGUAAUUAAAAUAAAAUAAAAAGGAUUUGAAAUCAUUUUUCUAGAAAAACUAAAAUUUUAAUAUCACUCUAUUAAUUCAUAAAUUCCAUGUCAUAUUUUUAAUUGAUAUACGUCAGAGAUGUUGAUAUGUGUAUACCAUUUUUUUUCUUGAUGUAGGUAAUCUUCUCAGCAUUGAAAUGCACUCAGUCGGGAUAUUCAACUCCAUAAUGUGUGUUUUUAAGAAUUGGAUUGGUGAAUGAAGUGAUUGUUUAUCAAUAACUUGAUCAGAGUUCUCUUGCUUAUGAUAUUAGUUUUGAGAUCAAUUCAAUAUUUUCUUCAUUUGUCUUUUAGCAUUAGUGCUUGCUUCUACCCUCCCAAAUUGCUUUUUCUUUUUCUUUUUUUAAGUUAUCUUCUUAAUAAGUGGUUGGUUUGCGUGAUCAUGGGUUGGGCGGCUCGGCUCGGCCCGACGGCCCGCCCGAAAUAUGAGAGAGUUUGGAUAAAAUUAUAGGCCCGAAAUAUAAGUUUGGGCAAAAAACGAGGCCCAUCGUCGGGUAAAACUUUUUUGACCCUGGCCCGGCCCGAAUAUAUAAUAAAUAUUUUUUUAUUUUUAAAAUAUAUUUCCCAUUUCCCCAUUUCCCAUUAGACAUUUAGUAUUUAUAUAAUAAAUAUAUUUUUAUUUUAAAGUAUUUUUAAAAUACUUUUUUAAUUUUUUAAUUUUAAAAUACAUUUCCGAAUAUAAUAAAUUGGUUGCAAAAAGGACGAUGAGGACGAUGAGGAUGAUGUUUCUUCGGUUGCUUUUUAGGAUACUUCAUUUCUAAUUGUUGAAAAUUUAAUUUAGCUUACAAUUUAUAUUUUAUUAUAAAAUUAAAUAUGUUGAUUGGUUAAUGUAUGAAUAUUCUGGUUGGUUGAUUUUAUUUUGUAGAUUUUUUAUAUAAUUUUGGUGUUUACUAAAAAAAAGGCCGGGCCGAGCUGGGCUCGGGCUUAGAAUUUUUUCCCGGGCUGGGCCAGGCCUAGGACAUGGGCUGAAAAUUUUUUUGGGCCCGGCCCGGCCCAUGCUCACCUUCAUUUGCAUCUAAUUAUUUUGAUUGAGAUUAAUCAAUUUAAACCAAACAAAAGAAAUUCCGAAUGACCCAUAGUGUAUAUAUCCCUUGCACUGAAAAACAAAACCGAAAGUAAAAGAAGUAGCACAACAUUACAAUUUACAAGUCACUAUUUAAAAUUAAAAAUUAGAUGAUAUGAUAAAACUAUUUAAAAUUUCCUAUAACAAAAAAAAAAAACUUAUUAUUAAUACUUAUUUUCAUUUAAUGAUAUAUAAAACAGAUUCAUACAUGCAUUGACUUAUACGGACCAAUAAUGAUUAAAUUUCUUACCAAAUCUCCUGUUUGACACAGAGUCAAAACCGUAUAACGCCUAUCUCCACCCAAUAUUGUAUAAAAAAUAGAUCCAUACAUUAACUAUUGUGAAACUUUUAACCGUUUAAUCGAUGAUAUUUCAAGGAGGGAAUGCACGUACAAACCUAUACAUUACAAGUGGAGUACUUUGUUUGGGAGUGGUAGCCACCAACCCUGAUCAAAAAACGAACAUGGAGAAUACAAAAAAAAAAGUAUGAGAAUUACUCAUUUUAUUUUUUUAAUUAUUAUUAAUAUAGAUAUGGUUAUAUGUGGAAAUAUGUCUCGCAUUUUGAUCAAAACAGUGUGUGACGUCGCAACGAGAAGAAGCUCUUCGUCCUGAUGAGGAGCCGACGUCACGGCAAGAAGAAAGUCCUCAUCCCAACGACGUGAUCCUCCUUCGUCCCGACAACUAAACGCUACAUCACAAUUUGGCGACAUGUUACUUAAGUUUUUUGGCUUUCUUUUAUCAGUUAAACUUUGUUUUAGUUUCCCACUUUAAACUCUGAUUAACCUAAUAAUAUUCAAAUCAUAUAUGCUAUCAAUUUCAACCUAUAAAUAGUCUUAGUUACUCUAGGUUUUAUACAAUAGAAAUAUUAAGAUCGAGAUAAUUCUAUUCUUUGAGUUUGAAAGGUUUUUAUUUUGGGGCUUUGGGUUUUUUUUAUUCUCCCUCUUUUGUACUCUCUUUUUAUUAUAGUGAAAUUUCCUUUUAUCCAUGGGUUUUUAUCCUCUUUUAAGGAGUUUUUCCACGUAAAUUUGUGUGUUCAAUAUUUUCGAUUUCUACUUUAUUUACUUGUUCGUUGUAUACACCGGGGUUAAUUCCUAAUUAACUGAUAUCAGAGAUAGUUUGGUUUUCGCAUUUAACUCAUUCGGAGAUUGCUGCAUCAAGGUUUGAUAUUGAUAAGUUUGACGACAUCACAAAUUUUCAAUAUGUGGUAAGUUCAUAUGUCAGUAAUACUGAUUCAGAGCGAUCUUGAAAGAAUCCUUACAGAGAAGAUGUCCACAGACAUGGAUCAAUCACAAUGAGAUAGGUUAGAUAAAAAAGUUCUAUUCACAAUUCAAUUAUGUCUAACAAAUAAUAUGUUACAAAAGUUACCGAAGGAAAAAAUAAUGUAUACAUUAUUGAAGAAACUGGAAAUUCUUGGCCAACGGGUUAGUGUUAAAACAACGUCUCUACAUGUUCAAAAUAACCGAAGCAUAGUGUUUUGAUAAGGUUAACAAAUGAAAAUGUAGUAAAUUCAGGGAAACUAAGAUAACAGUGUUAAAUGCUUCAUUUUCAAUCAACGAAAAGCAUUUAUAUACAUGGUUCUGAAAAAUAAAAAUCUUAGCCUCACAUUUAUAAGCAGUUUUACUCUAAUAUGAGACAAAAAUUACGGCGAGGUGAUUAGAAGAGGCAUUCACUAACCUCACACGAUAAUGUUGUUUAAUCAGCGCUCAAAGUAACUGAUGAAGCUGCUGAUUUUCUUUCCGGAGAGACUCAACCUCUUCCAUCAGUUCAGCUGUGUUCUGUAAUAUGGAGCUCAUCACACGAGACAUCUCCAUCUGUUCCAAUGAUUUUCGUGAAUUAGAGCAAUUGACAUGACAACGUUGUUUAAUCAGCGCUCAAAGCAAUUGACAAUCAAUGUAGUGUCAUGACCGGAAAUAAAAAACUAUGAAAUAUAUAGAGAUUUGUAAAAAUCCUUCAUCCAGGAUGACUUCACUACUCCAAUGCAUAAAAAGACCAAAGUGAUUAGAGAAAUUAAUGUAGAAAUGAAUAUUUGUUUAACCAAACCAGAUAUCAUACAUUCAUUUCUGGAAGAACUCCUGAUGCCGCUGCAGUCAAUGAAUCAAACCUCGAUAACAGGCUAUUAAACAGCUCUUCUCUGGUUUCAGCUCCUGUGUUCUUUGUUUUUGGAGAAGCUGCCAAAUGAGAUGUUCCAUCACUGAAGCAGAUGUAGUACUAAUUCUCUCAGCAUAUGUUGAAAACCUUCGAGGCGGUGCAAAAGAUGCUAGUUCUAGGCUGUGAGUCAAGGCUGCCAGCUCUAGUAAUGCCUCUUGAACCAAAAGAUAAAGCAGACAUGGAGCUCGAGGAGAAAUGUUCAGGAAAUCCCAAUGAAGUCUCCUGAUUUGAAGAAACGUCUUUCCUGUGCAAAUUUUCAUAGCUCAGGUUAGAACUAGUCUGACUGAGCAUUGAAGACUGUCGGAGCAGAGUGCUAAAGCUAAUAGCUAAAAUAGACUCCUGGGAUAUUCUGCUUGCUAAAUUUGACUAAGAAGGCCAUGGAAUUAAUUAUAUAUAACUUCAGUAACCAUGUAAGCCAAGCAAGGCCUGACAUUGACGAAUAAGCAAUUUCAGGUAUCAUCAACGAAUAAUCAAUUUUGGGUGUCGAGUCAAAAACUUGAGGAUUUUAGUUUCGCAAAUGAGGCCAUGAACUUUUGUUUUUUGCAUAAAGCAUUAUGAGAUCAGAAUCGAGGAAAAAAAACAUCAUUCAAAUGCAAUGCAAAGAGCUAAAUGUUUGAAGCAAGCUUGUCCAUCCAUGCUACUUAAGCGCAUCCUCCUCUCUUGCUAAGUACCUACACUAAUGCCAGCUAGAAACAUAUGGUAAUUGUAUAGCACAACUCGUCCACAGUAAUAAAGAAGAAGCUUUAGAAAGCAUGAAACUUCUCUCUUUGUUCAUAUGUAAAUUUAGUGCAUGAUUUAAUAAUCUACAAUGACUGUUGUUCAAAAUAUCUUUUAAGUCAGCUGCCAAUCAACAACACACAUCCCAUUGGUAACUUUUAUUUUGUGAUGUAUGCAUUCGUAGCUAAAAACCUUACACAUGACAAAAUGGUUAAAAACAUAAUAUAUAAAAAUUUUGGAAUUUAACCAACAUGAUCUACCUGAAAAUCAACAUAAUGAGUAUGAAAAUAAAGGAUAUUCUCAUCGUUUCAAUUUUCUUUCAAAUUCAUGCUUAUAUUUUAUAAAUUUUGUUGAUAUUAUUUAUCAACAGAAAUGGAGAGAUGGGAAGAGAAAUGGAAAGGUGAGACAGUGGUCUAGAAGCAGAGCCAUUAGAAAGAUCCCCCAAAUGGUCUAAAGUCCGUCUCUUUUUAUUAUACCGGGUUGGGCUAUUAUAUAAUAAAAUAUAAAUAUAUAAAAAUUAUUAUCAUCUUAUAAAAAUUUGUCCCCCACUUAGCUGAAGAAGAGUUAUAUUGUAACUCUUCUUAAAUUAUCUGAUAUUUAUGAAGUGCGUGUAAUUUGGGGCUUACUAUAUAUGUUUUACUAUUUUAGAGACUGCAGUAUUGAACCUGCGAGCCUUAGGAUACCAGUUGGGAGCGUAAGCUCGCGCUAGGUGUUUUGGAGAAGCGAAGGAAAACAUACAUAGUCUGGCAUAUGGCCGUAUGACCCACACGGCCUGGACACACAGGCAUGUCCAUGGCCAUGUGACACUGGGUUAAUCACCCCAUUUUUAUUUUAUUUUAUUUAUUAUUAUUUCUUAUAUUAUUUAUUUUUAUUUUACUAAAUUUUUUAUUUUUUAUUUAUUAUUCUUAUACUUAUAUUUAAAUUUUUUUGCUAUUUCUAUUUUUUAAUAUUUUUUUACUAUUAUUAUUACAAUUACCUUUAAGUUUAUUGGUAUCAUUAAGUUUUUUUUUCGUUUUAUUUUUUAUCUUUCUUUUUAAUUUUGUUUUUAGUUGCUUUAUUAUUUUAUUAUUAUUAUUUUCUUCAACUUAUUUUCAUUAUUAUCUUUUGAAAUAUAUAUGGUUGUUUCUAAUCGAGUUAUAACCUCUUAAUCUUCUUUAUUAUUUGUGUUUAUUUCCUUAUUAGUUUGCUCGGAAUCAUGCGUUACAUUUAGAUUGACUUCAAUUCUGCUUUUUACUAUUCUGAGUAUUUCAUCCAAUAUUCAGGGCUCUUUCAGUUUUCUCCCUCUCUUAUGAUAUUCUGUUUAUACUGUGAUUAUAUAUGUUUGUACAUUGAGGACAAUGUACAUUUAAGUGUGGGGAGGUUAUCCAUAUAAUUAUUAGAAAAUCCAUGAAUUAUGUCUUGUAUUUAAGUAAUUUUCUCAUACUACUAUUAGAAUGAAUUUUUAUCGAUUUGUGAUUUUUAUUCAUGUGUUUUGGAUUAAAUUCAUAAAUAUUUGUGCAUUGGUUGUUUUAAACUUUACGACAUAAGAGAAUCAAGCAUGAUAAGUUUAUUUUCAGAAUAAAAAAAUUUAGGUUGUUUCCCUGAAUUGAUGUAUUAUUUUGAAGUUUUAAAUUUACAAGUUUGACAUCAAAAACCAUAAUUUUUUGUGAGAUUUUGAGCGUUUAGAGCAUACACUUUUCUUGCUUAUUUUAUUAUUGGUUAUGAGUGUGUCAAUUUGAUUUAUUAUUCUAGAACUUGCUUCGAUUAUGCAUGUCAAGACCACACCUUUGAGUUGAUAUACUGAGAUGAUAAAGACACUUAGGUUUUAACUCACUUAUUCCAUAAAAAGCCUACCUACAUAAUUAACCCUUAGUAAACCCCUUCGAGCCUAACACACCGUUUCUUGAUUUACCCAUUAAUGAUAAUAACCCAUAACUCAUUUUUUGUUCAUUGAGAAAUUUUCCCAUUUUAUUUACUCCAUUUUUAUCGAGCUUUGAUUUAGUUAAUUGCCUGAUUAAGCCUCUUGAUUAAGUUGCUGAAUUAUUUCUUCUUAUUUACAUAUAAAAAAAAUACAUAUAUAGUUAUUUAGUUCUUUGUUAUUUGAGCUUGAAUAGUUAAAUUCAUAUUUUGAGAAGAAGCUUGUGUUAUUCUUGAAUAGUUCCGAUUGAUGUAAUUAUUUUUAAUUCAGCAUUUGUUAUUUUUGUAAUUUGGUAAUUUAUCAAUUCAAUCUCAAUUCUAACCUUCUUUUUCAGCCUUUCUCCACACCUUUAACCUAAUCCCCAUUACAACCUUAUAAAGACCUUUUGAUUUGUGUAUCAUCUCAUUUUAUAGUGGUGGAGAUUUGAUUUUCAUGCAAGCCUAUGGUAAUGACUUUUCAUGUUUGACUGUUGAGUACUUAAUUUUUGAACCUUAAAUACUUUGAGUAAUUUGAGUGAAUCUUUAGUGAGGAUGUCAAUUGUUUUUGAUUUUGAAUUAAAGGUAAUUACUUAAAUAAGGGGAAAUACCUAUGUUUUCAUGAUUUCAAAAUACUCGACUUAGAUUGUUUGAAUCUUUAAUGCUCUUUUAGUUGAAUUAUCAAUGUAUGCUUAUUUGUGAAUUAUGACAAAACAUUAUUGAUGAGAAUUACAAGUUGAGAAAGAUUAAUUUUAAUUGUGAGUUGUGGAUUUUGCUUGAGGACAAACAAACGCUUAAGUGUGGGGAUAUUUGAUAAGCCAUAAAAGUAACAUGUUUUUAAUCCCAUUCUUGAUGCAUUUUUUGGAUGAUUUAUUAUAUGUGAAUUAGUGAAUUUGAUGCUCCUAAUCCUUUAAAUUAAUGUUUCUAUACUUAGGUGAGCAUAGGGACAACGAGCCAAAUUCGGGCAAAAAGAGCUGUUUUCAGGAUCCACACAGCCUAGGCAUUUCCACACGGGCUGGCCACAUGCCCAUGUGCCAGCCUGUGUCGAUUUUGCACCCUGCUUCCCUGUUACGCAGAAAAACCUAAUUUUUAGGGUUUCUGAGCAUUCUAAAGUUUAUAAAAACUUAUUAGAAGAAGACCUAAGAGGAGAUACAGAGCUAAAUGAAGAAAAGACUCGAAGAACGCCAACGGAUUAAACUCAAAAGUAGGAUCUCUUUCAAGACUGAAGAUCUCCAUUCAAUUUCUCUCAAAGUUUUUGGGUUUUUUUAUGUUUUGUUGUUUUCUUAGGAGAUGUUUUCCUCCCAAAGUAUGAACUAAAUUCCCUAGAUACCUAAGGAAGAUGAAACCUAAGACAGAUCUUAUUAUUUGAUGUUUCGGAAACAUGAUAAAUAUUUGUUCUUGAUCUUAAUUAUGUGUUCUUAUUUCAUGUUUUAAUGUUUUCAGGAUAUUAGUUCAUGAUUGAUGUGCUUAUUCAGUAAAGCAAAAGUCCAUUUUUAAGAGUAGAUCUGACAUAAUUGAGUGGGGUUGCAUGCAAUCCUAGAAAUAGGACGACAUAAAUCUACCGGAUUGGAGUCAAAUCUAAAAGGGUAAUCUAUAGAUCGAGUUAAUGCGGCAAUAGAGGUUUUAAUUAGAAAGCAAUUUCAAUUAAUCAACCUAGAGUCAGUUGUUUUUAUUCUCGAAAGAGAUAUUAACAUAAGUUAGGGAUUUCUACGGAUCAAGACAAGUGAAUAAAUUGUUUAAUUCAUAUUUAGAAUAAUAAGUGAAGUCUAGGCGGAUUCUUUCCUGGGUUAUUGUCUCUCUCAUCGGUUUUCUUCAAAUAUUUUCCUACUUUAUUCUCUGUUUCGUCUUAGUAAUUAGGUUAGUUAAGAUUAGGUUAAAAUAAAUCCCUUCAAUUUAUUCGGCUAGAUAAUAAAAAGAUAGUAACUACUAGUACUUUUAGUCCUCGUAGAUACUAUAUUCCCGACUCACAAUAGCUAUACUACCAUUCGAUAGGUGCGCUUGCAUUUGUCGUGAUUUUAGUUAGUUCGUGACGUCAUCAUGGCCUUCAUUGUUUGCCCGCUUACACUAAUAAAAAACUUUUCUACCUCUGCUUUUCUAUAGUUUAGAUUUUUUUUUUAUGAAACAACUUUAAAUGUCAUGUAUCUACGAAUCAAAAUCCAAACAGUUUUCUUCUCUGUUCUUUGACAUCCACUAUCAGAUUGACUUGAUCUAAUAUACGUUCUUUUACUCAUCGAUGAGUUUUGAUCCAUCGUAUUGUUUAUCGAAUUGUCACUUUAACCUCGCUAGUCGGACUUUAAAAAAAAUAAUUCAAUUACUUAAAUAAAAACUUUUGAAUAGACCAGUAACUUAAAUGAAAGCCUUCAAAUAGUUUAAUGAUCAUUUUAUAUUUUUUAAAGUUAAAUGAUCAAAACAUAUAUUUAUUAAUAGUUUAAUAACCUUGAGUGUAAUUUACCCAAAUAACUAUCUUUUUCCUUUUGAGUUAUUAGUUGGAAGAAAUUAGUUGAGAGUUGGCCUACUAUUGUUAUUAAUAAUUACUUAUAGUUUGGAAGAUAGGAGUUGAGGGUUGUGCUAAUAAUGUCAGUGAUAAUAACUUCAUCUUAUUAUUUGGAAGAUAUGAAUUUGAGGGUUGGCCUACUAAUGUAGUGAUAAUAACUUCCCCUUACCUUUUCUUCGCAUGCCAUUUUACUUUUGCAUGCCUUACAAUGUGGAAAUUCAAAACAUCUUUUGCUUUCAAUUUGGAAAUUCAAUUUGGUAGAAAUGAGUUUGUUUAUGAGUGACAUAGGUAUGGUAUAAAAAAUAGCAUAAUAAAAUUAAUAAACGAUUGGAUUAAAUUAUAUCUAAUGUCACUAAACUACUAGUAAAUUUACGUUUUUCUCAAUUAACGUAAAAAAGUUAUACAUAAAAUGGUUACUAAACUAUUUGAAAAUUUUCAUUUAAAUUACUAGAUUAUUAAAAUCAAUUCUAUAUAGCCUUUAACGUUCACACUCCUUACACCAAUAGAAAACUAUUCUGCCAUUGCUCUUCUAUAGUUUAGGUUUCUUUUUUCAUAAAACAACUUUAAAUGAUACAUAUCUACGAACCAAAAUUCAUAUAGUUUUCUUCUCCGUUCUUCGACACAAACCUUCAUAUUGGCUUGAUCUAAUAUAUAAUCUUCUACUAGUCAAUGAAUAUUGAUCCAUCGUACCGUUCAUCGAAUUGUUGCUUGGACCUUGUAAGCCAGACUCUUUUUUUUUUUUAACUUAAUAGUCCAACGACUUAAAUAAAAAACUUUUGAACAGCUAAUGAUUUAAAUGAAAACUUUUGAAUAAUUAAAUGAUUAUUUUAUAAAAUUUUAAAGUUAAAUAACCAAAACGUAAACUUAUUAUAUUUUAGUGACAUUGAAUGCAAAUUACCCAAAUAUUUCAAUUAUGGGCAAUGACUGUUGGGUGGAAGAAAUGAAUUGAGGGUAGGCCUACUAACGUGAGCGAUCCUAACUUUUCUUCACAUGUCAUUUUACGUUAUUGAUUUUGUAUCUCAAAGUUUUAAAUUUGAAAACCAUAGAAUUUAAUGUCUGUUUCCUACAAAAUUAUUGCACGCCAAUCCAAUGUGGAAUUAAUUGACAUUUAAUUUUAUUACUAAAUAAAUGAUAAUUAAAAUUGUUAGAAUUUUAUUUAAUUAAUAACUUUAUUUUAUAUAAAUAAAAUUAACAUAAAUUUUUUAAAUAAAAAAAAAAGAUAUUUUUAUAAUAAUGUCAAAUUUAAAUUAUAAUCAUCUUUUAACUGAUAGUUAAUUAAGUGAUGAUUUGAUGAAGCUGGAUCCGAUGAGUGCAUUAAAAAGCUACUUUGUUUGAGGAAUCUUAGAUUAUAGGGUGAAGAAUGCGAGGGGAUUAAAAUUAUUUGUUCUGUAAAUAGAUUUCCUCAACUUGAUUCUCUUCAUAGCGUGAUCUAAAGGAAUUAGAGGAGUGAGAGAUAAUAAAAAGACGCAAUGCCACAUCCAACAACUUUUUAUUUUAUCAAUUUAAUCAAAUUUUUUAACAACACAUUAUUUUAAUGAUAAGGUUGAAGUCUUAUAAAUUUUGAAAUUUUAAAUUUAAGUUUUGAAUCUUAUUUUAUGUAAAUUAUGUAUGUAUCCUCCUCAAAUAAAUAAAUUUCCCUUCUUAAAGAAAUCACCAUUAAAACUCAAAAUGAUAUCACUUGUCACGGGGCUAAGUCUUUCAUCUCGCAAUCCGUGCGACUUUAGGCGAUCCGUUCUUCCAAACUCGCCUAAGUCAGCCUUCACUUAAGUGAGGAUUCCUUAAGAACUCCUCAAACGCACCAGUUUAUAUAGCAGAAGCAAAUAAUGUCAAAAGAAGCCACAAAGAACAACAGAAAGCUACAGAAAAGAACACAAACAAAGUGUUUGAGUAAAUGCUCUCAAAAUUUUAUUACUCCUAAGAAUUUAAGUUACAAUGGAUGGAGUCCGUACAAAUGAGGGGGAGGUUCUCUAUUUAUAGUUGAGCUCCCCCAAAAUCGACGGUCAAGAUACAUUUACAUCGACGGACGAGAUUAACCAUAUCCCUUGAUUUUAGGGAUUUACAAGAUAUGUCAUAUAUCAAAUCUAAUCUAAUCUUUACAAGAUAUGAUUCAUAUCAAUCUUCUAAGAUUAGUUACCAAAAUAGCUUAAGUUGCCAUAUCUUCAUUAUCGAGCCAACCAGGCUUCAAUCUAACAGUCUUCUUCAAUAGUUCUUUGAAUCGGGUCAGUUCUAGUGGGCUAAAUGAUCCACAUCUUAUCGACAGAUCUCAAUGGGGCGCAUCUUGUGCCAUGGUCACGGGCUUUAUUGUUUUUUUUUUCACUCAUCAAUUUUCACUCAAAUUUUUCUUAUUUUCGUUCAACAUUCUUUGUACUACUGGUUUCUAAGUGGUCCUUUCAUUCUUGAUAAAAUUUUAUAUUCGCUGAGUAAAAAGAAUUGCCUAAUAUCUUCCACUUUAAGAAUUGUGAAGUUUAUUUAUGGGUAAUUUAGGUAUUAUAUAAAAAAAACACAAAAAAUAAUAAAUAAUUGGAGUAAACUACUCCAAAGGUCACUAAACUACUAGUAAGUUUACGUUUUGUUCAAUUAACUUCAAAAAGUUACAAAAUGAUCACUAAGCUAUUAAAUAUUUUUAUUUAAGUUAUUGAGUUGUUAAAAUAUUGCUAUAUGACUUUCAUUGUUCACACCGCCUGCUCCAAUAAAAAAAAUUCUUUUGCCCCUACUCUUCUACAAUUUAGUUUUUUUUUCAUAAAGUAACUUUAAAUGUCAUAUAUGAACUAUAAUCCAAAUACUUUUUUUCUUCAUUCUUCAACACCGAUCAUCAUAUUGAUUUGAUCUAAUAUAUAUUCUUUUACUCGUCGAUGAGUAUUGAUCCAUAUUUAUUAAAAUUUUAAUAAAUUUUUAAUAAGUUUUCUAAACGGGCCUCUUUUUUUCACAAACUCAUAUUUCAGGCCUAUAUUUUUACCCAAACUCUCCCAUUUUACGUGUGAGCUGUCGGGCCGGUUAUGAAUUUUGAAAUUCUAAAUUUAAAUUAUAUAUGAAACUCCCUCAAAAUAAAUAAAUUUCUCCUCUUAUAUAAAACCUUUUUUUUACCAUUAAAUUUUACAAAAAAAAAAAUCGUGAUUGUUUUAUUUUCUCAAUAUUUUCUCUUAUUUUCGUUCAACAUUCUUUGUACUGUUGUUUUCCAAGUCGUCCUUUCGUUCUGGAUAAAAUUUUAUAUUGGCCGGGCAAAAAAGAAUUGGAGGACAUGGGUUUAAACAUUAAUAAACGAGCACUAUCCUUCACUUUUUGCAAUUGUGAAGUUUACUGAUUGGUAAUUUAGGUAAUGUAAAAAAACAACACAUUAAAAAUAAUAAAUAAUUGGAGUAAACUACAUUCAAGGUCAUUAAACUACUAGUAAGUUUACGUUUUAAUCGUUUAACAUUAAAAAGUUACAAAAUUGUUACUAAAUUAUUCAAAAGUUUUCUUUAAGUCAUUAAGCUGUUAAAAUCACUACUAUAUGGUCUUCAUUGUUUGCCCGCUAACUCUUCUACCCCUGCUUUUCUAUAGUUUAAGUUUUUUUUUUUAAGAAACAACUUCAAAUGUCACGUAUCUACGAAUCUAAAUCUAAAUAGUUUUGUUCUCCGUUCUUCGGCACCAAGCAUCAAAUUGACUUGAUCUAGUAAAUGUUAUUCUACUCGUCAAUGAGUAUUGAUCCAUUGUACCAUUCAUCGAAUUGUUGCUUUAACCUAACUAAUCAGACGUUUUAAAAAAAAGCUAAUAAUCUAAUGACUUAAAUAAAAAUUAUUGAAUAGAUCAGUGACUAAAAUAAAAAUAUUUAAAUAGUUCAAUUAUCAUUUUAUAACUUUUAAAAUUUAAUGAAUUUUGUGUCCACUUGCCUUGUCUUUCUUAAAAAGAUAAAAAGAAAAAAAAAUUGCUUUUUAAUUGGAAGAAAUUAUUUUAUAAUUGUUAUGAAUUUUUCAUUAUUAAAUCAACAUCUAUUGAUAUCAAAAUAAAUUUGAUUUACUCUAUAUUUUUCUAUAAACAUUACUAUUAAUCAAUAACAAUAUGUUGGUUAUUAUAGAAAAACUGGAAUAUGUUUGUGCUUUUCCAUAGUUAUAGCUCUGUUUAGGAUGUGGUAAACAGUAUCAGUUGGACGAGAAGUUAUUUGCCACCCUCAAUGACUAUGUUCUAUUCGAAUUUUAUGGCUUUUGAUUCAAAAUGAUUAGCUUCAGAAAGUGAUUAGGUUAAGCUUAAUACAAAUGGUGUAAUUACGUUUAGCUCUCACUCGAUUACAAUUAAAGGAGUCAUUAAAUAUGUUAAUAGUAAUUAAUUAUGUGAUUAGUCGAUGACAUUAUAAGGAAAUAUGAAGUGUAUAAAAUUGAAGCAAGAUCGAUGUUAGAAGGGCUACAACUAACUUAGGACAAGGGUUAUCCACAUGUUAAGUUUGAAUAUAUGUUAUUUUAUUUAAAAAAAGUUACGUUCCAUAAUAAUAAUAAUAAGUUCAGCUAUUUGCUGUCCAAAGAACAGUAAUUACCAACCUCACACCCAAAAACAGCUCUUCAAAACUUCUGAUAAAGAGAGAUACUUAUCCACAAAUACAUAAAAUAUUCUACUAAUACUUGCAGAUCAGUUUGUGGAAUCUGUUCUGGACCAGCAGGAGAAAUGGAACAGGCUAUUGUGUCCUUAGCUGUUGAAAGAAUUUCAGAUUUACUCAUCCAUGAAGCUGUUUUCCUCAAAGAUGUGAAAGAUCAAGUUGAGAGCCUAAGGGCUGAACUGAAGCGAAUGCAGUGUUUCUUGAAGGACGCGGAUCGCAAUCUUGAACAAGAUGCGCGUUUCCAGAAUCGGGUGUCGGAAAUCAGAAAUCUUGCUUAUGAUGCUGAAGAUGUCAUCGACUCUUUUAUUCUUAAAGCAGCAUAUCAACGAGGUUUUCAUGGGAUUGUCAAGAGAUUCACCUCCAUUUUCACCAAACCUUAUCAUCUGCACAAAAUCGGGUUGCAGCUCAAAGCAAUCAUGACCAAGCUCCAAAACAUUUCCGAGAAUCUUCCAGCUUUUGAAAUACCCGAUGAUGGAGAAGGCUCUAGCUCAAUUUUCAAGGUGCAGCAACAGUUUAGAAGGACAUACUCACAUGUCGAGGAAGAGGACGUUGUUAGCUUGGAGGUUAGCACCAAGGAUGUCAUGACCAAAUUGAUGACUGAAGAAGAUAGACCCCACGCCGUAGUUUCCAUAGUCGGCAUGGGGGGCCUCGGUAAGACUACUCUUGCCAGAAAAGUAUAUAAUCAUGUUGAUGUGAGACGCCAUUUUGAUUUCUUGGCUUGGUUUUCUAUCUCUCAACAAUGUAAGCCGAGAGAGGUUUUGCUUAGUGUCUUGAAGAAAGUUCUCUCUCCUUCUAACAAUGAUAGGGAGAAAAUUGAGAAAAUGGACGAGAUUGAGCUGACGAGAACGCUUUUUGAUGCUUUGAAAGAAAAGCGGUAUUUGGUGGUCCUCGAUGAUAUUUGGAGAAGCGAGGAUUGGGAUAUUCUUAAACCUGCUUUUCCACGAGGAAGAAAGGGAAGCAAAAUAUUGUUCACAACACGCAACAGGAAUGUGGCUUCACGAGCCGAUUCUUGCAACACUCCCAUCGAGCUCUCAUUUCUUACGGAUGAUGAAAGUUGGAAUCUUUUGUGUAAGAAAGCAUUCCCACGGAGCAAAAUGGGUUCUCAAUGCUGCUCAGAAGAAUUUGUGAAGCUUGGAAAAGAGAUGGUGAAAAAAUGUGGAGGCUUGCCUUUAGCAAUUGUUGUGUUGGGUUGCUUGCUGGCAACAAAACAGUCCGUGGCUCAAUGGGAGAUGGUUCAUAAAAACAUCCAUGGACACUUAAAUGAGCUCCCACACCAAGAUCGUCAAUAUGGUGCAGUGAACAGAAUUUUGGUUUUAAGCUACAAUGACUUGCCUUAUCCUUUAAAACCAUGCUUUUUGUAUCUUAGUCAUUAUCCAGAAGAUUGGGAGAUACCUAAAAAAGAACUCAUUCGAUUAUGGAUCGCUGAAGGUUUCAUUCCGAAAACCGAAGAAUUCUUGAUGGAGGAUUUAGGUGAAAAUUUCCUAGAAGAGCUUAUAGAUAGGAGCUUAGUUCAAGUUAGCAGGCGAGACUAUACAGGAACAAAUGUCGAGACAUGUCGAAUGCAUGAUCUCUUGAGAGACUUAUGCACGAAGAAAGCAAGAGAGGAGAAGUUCUUGGAAAUUAUUCAACAACCACUGCAUGAAUAUGAUGUGACAUUGGCAAAAUCUAUGCUACGAAGAAUUUCUAUUCAUCCUAGUGAACGGAAUUUUGUUUAUUUGAAGGGAGAACAUCCAAAAUUACGUUCUUUGUUGUUUCCUCAAAAUGUGGAACCGGUUGAAUUCCACAUUUCAAAAUACAAAAGCUUCGAAUUUUUAAGGGUGUUGACUCUUCAAAAAGGAAAAUACAGUUAUGAAGAGUGGCAUGUGUCAGCUGAAAUUGGUAAUCUCCAACAUUUGAGAUACUUGAAGUUAUACUACAAUAACAAAAUGAUUUUGCCGCGAUCUAUUGGCAGGUUGAAGAAUCUGUACACUUUAUACAUCAAGUAUUGUUAUGACAUUGUAAUUCCAGAUGGUGUGUUUAAGUUAGAACGUUUAAGGCAUAUUGUAAUAAAAUUGAAUGGGACAUUACCCUUAUAUGGAUUUCGGUUGCGGCAAGGGUUCACUUCAAAAAAUAUUGAAACUUUGAAGUACAUGGUGGUGGAUGAGAAGGCGGCUGAAAAUAAUGCGGUGCUUAGGUGGACUAAUAUUCAGAGUUUAGGAAUGGCAUUUACCAGAGCACAAUAUAUGAAGCCUACCCUAAUCUUGCUAGCCAAAUCGCAACGCCUUAGGUCAGUGUCCUUAAGUUUUUUUGAUGUCUCACACCUAGACUUAGAACCCCUUUCUCAAUAUUAUCACCUCUCCAAACUGAAAUUAUGGGGGCGGAUAGAAGAUGAGCCACAUCCGAACGGUCAUGUUUUGAAAUUUCUUCCAUCAAAUAUUGUCAAUUUAACUUUGUGCACCUGUAGGCUGAGACAAGAUCCAAUGGUCGUAUUAGAAAAGCUAUGUCAUUUGAGGAUUCUCCAUUUGCAACAAGCAUAUAUUGGGAGUAAAAUGGUGUGCUCUGCAAAUGGAUUUCCUAAACUUGAUUAUCUUCAAAUGUCUUGGUUAUUUGAGUUGGAGGAGUGGGAAAUAGAAGAAGGUGCAAUGCCAUGCCUUCGAGAAUUGAAGUUGGCCGAUGGACAGAGUUUAAGGAUGCUUCCAGAAGGAUUGAGGUACAUUACUACUCUCCAAGAAUUGAAUUUAAUACAAACAUCUUCGUCAUUGAAAGAAAGGAUUAAAGUGAUAGAUGGAAAAGAAGGAGAGGAUUUCUAUAAAGUGCGCCACAUUCCCUUCAUCCACAUUGACAGGUAUUUAUUUCUAUGAAAUAAUAAUUUUUACGUUCUUUUUUCUUUUCUUUUUCACCCAUAGAGUUAGAGAUUGAUAUAAUAUUGAUAAAAUAACAGAAUAGAAGAAUAUAUAUUUAAUUCCAUGAAAAUUAUAAUUAAAAUAUAAAAAAAGAAUUUUAAAUAUAUUUUUUAGAAAAACUAAAUUUUUAAUAUCAUUUUAUUAUUUCAUAUUUUUAAUUAUUAUACAUAAGAGAUGAUGAUAUAUCCAUAUCAUUUUUUUUUCUUGAUGUAGGUUAGCCUAAUUAGCACUGGAACGCACUUUGCCGAUAUAUCUAAUUUCAUUAAGUGUGUGUAUGUUUUUUUUAUAAGAAUUAGAUUGCUAUAUAGUAUGAAUUUUGAAUGAAGUGAUUGUUUGCUAUAUAUCUAAGGCUCACUUUCGGCCUCCCAAUUUGCUUAUUUUUUUAAAAAUUUAUCUUGUUAUUGAUUGGUCAUUUGCAUCUAUUUGAUUGAAUUAAUGAAUUUAAAUCAAAGAAAGAAAUACUAAGUAACUCAUUAGAUGUUAAAUGGUUAAAUUCAUUAUUUAAAUAGUAAAAUAACCCCUUUAAAUUUACAACUCACUAUUUCUAUUAAAAAUUAGAUGAUACAAUGUCAAUCAAAACAUAUAACAUGUAUACUUUUAUAUGACAUAACAAAAAUAUGUACGAUUUCUUAUAACCAAAUGUAUAAAACGACUUAUGUGGAAUGAUGAUUAAAUAUUUUUAUCAAGUACCCGUUUAACCAAAAAAGAACAAAGUAGCGACUCAACUUUCUAUUAAAGACUUGUUUUAUUAAGGUUACACAAAACAAAAUGUAGUAAAUUCAGGGAACUCUAUGUACUAAGAUAAUCGUGUUAAAUGCUUCAUUUUCAAUCAACCGAGAAGCAUUUAUAUACAUGUUUCUGAAAAGUAAAAAUCUUAGCCUCACAUUUGUAAGCAGUUUUACUCUGAUAUGAGACAAGCCUACUGAUGAAACAGAAGUUACGGCAAGGUGAUCAGAAGAGGCAUUCACUAACCUCACACGAUAAUGUUGUUUAAUUAGCGCUCAAAGCAAUUGACGAAGCUGCUGAUUUUCUUUCCGGAGAGACUUAACCUCUUCCAUCAGUUCAGCUUGGUUCUGUAAUAUGGAGCUCAUCACACGAGACAUCUCCAUCUGUUCCAAUAAUUUCCACAAAUUAGAGCUGAGAAUAUGUACAUGAAAGCCAAAGCAACAUAAAGGAAAGGACGAUAGGAAAAUACCUCCUGCAUGUGGAAUUGUCUUAAAAUUUCAAUAUGCAAGUUCCUCAUAUCUCCAUGAAUGGAUUUCUAAAAUGAAUCGAGGGUUUCUUCUAGAGUUCGUUGAAAUAGCUGAAGAGUAAAGUUGCUUCCUUGUUGAGAUGCCUUGGGGGGUAGUAAUGUUCCUCCCUAUUAUGGUCACAAUCAAUGCAGUGUCAUGCCCGGAAAAAAAACUAUGAAAUAUAUAGAAAUUCGUAAAAAUCCUUCAUCCAGGAUGACUUCACUACUCAAAUGCAUAAAAAGACCAAAGUGAUUAGAGAAAUUAAUGUAGUGAAUAGUUAUUUAACCAAACCAGAUAUCAUACAUUCAUUGCUGGAAGAACUCCUGAUGCCGCUGCAGUCAAUGAAUCAGACCUCAAUAAAAGGCUAUUAAACAGCUCUUCUCUGGUUUCAGCUCCCGUUUUUUUUGUUUUUGGAGAAGCCACCAAAUGGGAUGUUCCAUCACUAAAAGCAGAUGUAGUACUAAUUCUCUCGGCAUAUGUUGAAAACCUUCGAGGCGGUGCUAAAGAUGCUAGUUUUGGUGAGUCAAGGCUGGCAGCUCUAGUGAUGCCUUUUGAACCAAAAGAUAAAGCAGACAUGGAGAUCAAGGAGAAAUGUUCAGGAAAUCCUAGUGAAGAAGCCUCCUGAUUUGAAGAGACAUCUUUCGUGUGCAAAUUUUCAUAGCUCAGGUUAGAACUGGGCUGACUGAGCAUUGAAGACUGAUCUUGUCCAGCAUAAAUAGAGCUCGUUGUCAGACCACCGGAAGCUGGCAUCCCAAAACGAGAUGGCAGCUGGCGAAGGUGAGCAAAUUUGUCAGAUAUCUUCUCACCACCCCAAGCUUCUGGAGGAGUGAUGGAGGUCUCUUCACUCUUGGAAGAUGGUGUAGGGGUAGAUUCCAAAGCUGUAAAAGACUUCGUCACAUCCUGAAAAGAUAAGUGGUGUACAAACAUCAUUAUGGGGAAAAAGACUGAAAAGCCAUAUCGAUUGCUCUCAAAAAACCAAAUUAAGUAUCAGAAACAGUUCUAUGACUAAAGAACAUAGGAUAUAAUAGCCUGUGAAUCAAGCUCAGCCAAUUCAUUUAUUAAGAGAAAUGAAAGUUGUUGGAAAUGAUAUCCCACUGCAGAUGAUAGUAAGUUGUCUGCAAUUGUAAAUCAGAGAAAUCCUCAAAACAUGCAAAGCCAUACUAAAAACACAGUUGAUCUAUUGGACUUGUUAAUACAAACACUUAUAAUGCUCCAAACAUACAACAUAGUGCACAAAAAGACCACAGUCCCAUUCUAUGCAAAAAUGACAACUUAGGAUCAACUCAUAUACUUGCAUGAAACUAGCAGAACAUUACCAUGAAGAUUUAAAGUAAUAUCUUGUACAAAAAAAUCAAAAUAAAUAUGUUAUGCAUUACUGUUAUCAAUAACAAAAAAGCAAAAAGCAAAAAACCUGUUGAGACAUUGAACUGGACUUCCAAUCAAGUAUUGGGUGAUCACUGGCUCCAUCAUCAGCAAAAGCAAACCUCCUGCUAGAAGGAAACAGCAGGGAGGAUGGCUUCUUAUCACUGGGUAGGUGCUCUUUCUUUGCACCAUCAUGACCAUCCCACAGCUUAUCCGGCGAGGGUGUAAUAGGAUGAACAUCCACAAGAGGGGAAAAUACCUCCAUAUCAUCCUUGAAAUUGAAUGUAGAACGAGGAGCGUGUAAUCUCAUUAGUGUUCCACCUGGCCAUAGAUGGCUUCUAAUUGGUGUUUCGAGAGAAGAAGAGAGAUUGAGUGUGCUUGAUGUUGAUCCAUGAAGAAAACUAGGUAACCUUCAGAAAUUUACUAAACAAUCUGUUUAUAAAAUGAACUUAGACCCCAAAGUAGACCUCCGAUCAUCAAAAUCUAAUCCCCAGUUUGCAUCAGAAAACCCAACUAAAGACAGAGAAUCAGACCGUCGAAAAACAAUUCCAAAAUCAAGUGUAGCAGAUAAAUAUCGUAAUAUCCUUUUAAGAGCAGUCAUAUGAACUGUGGUUGGACUAUGCAUAAACUGACAUACCCUAUUAACCGCAUAAGCAAUAUCAGGCCUAGUAAUGACCACAUACUGUAACGCACCUGCCAGACUCCUGUACUCAGUCGGAUCAGAUAACAACUCACCAUCAUUUUUAGAAAUAUGGAACGAGCUAAUCAUGGGCGUAUGUACGCCUUUAGCAUUCGUCAAACCACUACGCUUCAACAUAUCCCGGAUGUACUUCUUUUGACACAGAUGAAGGCUCCCACAAGGCGACCUGGUAACCUCAACUCCCAAAAAAGUAAUGUAAAUCACCCAUGUCUUUUAACAAAAAUUCAUCAUUCAACAUCUGUACAAACCAGUCAAUAGCCGACGCCAAAUUACCAGUAAUGAUAAUGUCAUCAACAUAAACAAGAACAUAGAGAGUAGAGUCUGAGCGAACUCGAACAAAAAGAGAAGCAUCCGACUUAGAGCCAACAAACCCAACUUGCAAAAGAAAUGUCCUCAACUUCUCAAACCAAGCUCGUGGAGCCUGUCGCAAACCAUAUAACGCCUUCUUUAAUCGACAAACCAAAGGUCUCCCGUCAGAACCAAGCUUAACAUAUCCCGGAGGUUGCUGCAUAAACACUUCAUUAUCAACAUCACCAUUUAAGAAGGCAUUGUUAACAUCAACUUGUCUAAGUGACCACCCUUUAGUAACCGCGAUCGACAAGAUUACCCUUAUAGUGGCAGGUUUGACAACUGGACUAAAUGUUUCUUGAAAGUCACACCCCAGAACUUGAGAACAGCCUUUCGCAACCAGACGGGCCUUGUACCGUUCAACCGAUCCAUCUGGGUUUUUCUUUACUUUAAACAACAAUUUGCAACCUAUAACUUUGCGACCUAAUGGCAUAGGAACCAGUUCCCAGGUACCAUUACGAAUUAAGGCAUCAUAUUCCGUUUGAGCAUCGAUUUGCCACUCAGGGCUAGCGACAGCUUCUUCAAUCGUUGACGGUUCUACAACCUCAACAGCAAGAACCUUGGGUUUAAAAAUGCCAGCUUUUGAACGAGUAGUCAUAGGAUGAAUAUUCACAUUAGGCACAGACACCUCUGGUCCUGUAGGGUCAGACGGAAUUGGAACAGUGGGCGUGGGAGAUUGAUUUUCAGAAUGCAAGACACCAUGAUGAGAAAUAUCUUCUUCAGUCAAAAACUCAUUCAAUAAGGGAGUAUUACGAUAGUUAGUAUUUGUUGGACUAACAUCCACUCUACUCUAAGGACUCCGAGCCCCAGGUACACUAGGCUGACAAACAGGACCAAUAACAGAGUUCCGUUGUAACAAUGGAUUAGUCUCAAGAACAGGAAAAUAAGUAGGUAUAGUACUCACCUCGCGUGACCGAGAUAUAUUUGGUGGAGAGAGGAACCUAGAUUCAUCAAACUCCACAUGUCGAGAAACAAUAACGCGACCAUCCGGCAACAGACAUUGGUACCCUUUGUGACAAGGGCUGUAGCCCAAGAAUGUACAAGGUUGAGACCGAAAUUCUAAUUUAUGACCCUGAAACGGGCGUAAAAACGGAUAGCAACAACAUCCAAAGAUAUGCAGGUGAUCAUAAGUAGGGUCUCGUCCAUAAAGCACACCAUAUGGAGUCUUACCAUCCAAUACUGGUGUGGGAAGACGAUUUAUUAAAUGAACUGCACAUGUAAACGCAUAUGCCCAGAACUCCAUCGAAAGACCCACUUGAGCUAAAAGAGUAAGCCCCAUUUCGACAAUGUGUCUAUGUUUACGCUCGGCGACACCAUUUUGCUCAGAAGUAUGCAGACACGAAACACGAUGAACGAUGCCUUGAGACGCCAAAAUCGAAGCCAACGCUCGAUACUCACCACCCCAGUCGCUCUGGAAUUGCUUGAUGGUCUUGCCAAACUGAGUGUGAACAAGUUUCUGAAACUGAAUGAAGCAAUUCAUAACUUGAGACUUCUGUCGAAUUAGAUAUACCCAAGUAAACCGAGAACUCAUGUCAAUGAACGACACAUAAUACCAAUUGUUACUAGAAGCAACCGAGGCAGGUCCCCAUACAUCAGAUACAACCAACGUAAAGGGAUCAGUAUAUUCAGUCUUGGAAGCCAUAAAUGGCAACUUAUGAAACUUACCCUUUUUACAAGCAGUACAAACAUCGCUAACAGCAAUUUUAUUCAAAGGAACAUCACAUUUAUGUAAAACAUUUUUAACAACAGUUGACGACGGAUGUCCAAGUCGCUUGUGCCAUAACGAAAACAACUCACUGUCAGCAGUCGAGGUCAAACAUUCUACCUGAGUAGCAGACAGAUAAGAACCACCAUCCGGCAUAGUAAACCGAUAUAGCCCAUUAUGAAUAUGCCCCGUCAGUAAAACCUCCUGUGUCACGCUGUCCUUUAUCACACAAUAAGUAGAGUGAAACUAAAAAAAUACCCCAUUAUCAGUAGCAAAUUGUGAUACUGACAACAAAUUUUUUCGAAUAGUUGGGACACAUAACACGUUAGACAACCGAAGCAACAUAGACCAUGUCGGCAAAACACUUUGACCAACAGACGAUAUUAAUGCGGGCGUACCAUUACCCAUUAAAAUAGAAGACGUACCUGAAUAAGGAGUAGCAUUAUGCAUAUCUGACGUAUCCUGACAAACAUGAUUGCUGGCUCCUGAAUCAGGAUACCAAGACGACGUCCCAACUGGUCCAGGAAUCGGCGAGUCAGACGCAUCCCCACUCACUCUAUGUCGAUCGGAGUUAGCAUGAGAACUAGAGAUCGACGGAUCAGAAUAGUCCGACGCAUGUAUAUCUCCCAACCUAGGAAGUCCAAAACAAGGGUUUGAGGCGGAAAAUACUCGCGCACGCAGCUUGGUUCGCCAUGGAACUGUCGUGGUACCGAUCGGAUUAGCUGGAUUGAGCUGAACAUUAUUGACAAAUGGAUUUGUAGGUAUCGAAGGAGGAACAUUUGGUCCAACAUUCUGCCCAAUAUUUGGCCCAACAUAAGACGGCAUGCCAAACCCUCCAUGUACACCAUCAUUUGGCCCACCAGCUUGCGGCCCAGGAGUUGGAGGCCUAAAAUCUCGCCGUUCAUCACUCGGCUUAGGCCACCCAUUUGGCCCAACCUACUGGCCUCCACGCUGCGCAUUGAAGCCCCCUUCAGCACACCAAUUUUGACCAAAAUCAUAUGAAUUUUGACCAGGCCCAAAACAAUUUUGACCUGUAGCACAAUUAACUUGAUUAGUCCCAUAAUGCUGUUGACCAAAAUUAGAAACCUUAGGUCUAGUGUUUGGAUAAGACGGCCAGCCACCAUCACCGGAGUAAAGAUUCAGCAUCUGGUUUUGCUGCGGAGGUGGCACCGGAGACGACUCAUCACGAUGGUACCUAUAAUAGCAUUUUUGAGCCACGUGUCCAAACCGAGAGUAGAUCUGGCAUUGAAGUCGCGGCCGAAACGUCCUUCCACGACCACGCACCCCCGAUCGCCCUCCCGCGACGCAGCAUCUGUAGACACAUCCUCCACCAGAUUUGCAGCAUACACCACCUCUUGACUGGUCUGAGCAUGCCGAGUUUCACACUCUAGUAACGCCUCAACUAGUCGUGGAAACGGCAACGGAGUCGGAGACAACGAAGCCGACAAGACGAUGCCUUCAAACUCAGACGAAAGCCCCGCAAGAAGCACCGCCGUCCUUUCUGCCAUUGAAAUGGAAGAUCCAGAGGAUUCCAACAGAGCACACACACGUUUUAACUUCGCAACAUAAUCACGGAUCGACAUGCUUCCUUUCUUGAGAGAGUGAAGCUCAUGACGCAAUCGUGACUGCCUUUGAUCGGAAUCGGCCGCAAACAUCUCCAACGCCAUGGUCCAUACGUCGUUCGCCGAUUGGACAUCCAUAAAGGAUGAAAGAAUUGAUGAACUUAUGGUGGAGAGAAGCCAAGACGUGAGCAGAUUAUCUUGUUGGUGAUACACUGAUGCCACUGGAUUGACCACAAGCGCACCAUCCGGUGCUUGUACAAAUCUCGACGGCACUGCAAUAGAUCCAUCAAGAAAACCGAAGAGAUCAUAGCCAUUAACAAUGAAUCUUACCUGUUGCUUCCAUUGAAGAAACGUUCCUUCAUCAAGUUUCACAACGUCAUGUCUAGGAAGCGAAUUCACCACACGCUCAGCAGCAAACACCGAGCCAUGCACUUCAGCAGAAUCCGACGCAGCAGAGUUUGUAGUUGCCAUGAUCAAGAACCCCUAGCGACUGAUACCAUGAAGAAAACUAGGUAACCUUCAGAAAUUUACUAAACAAACUGUUUAUAAAAUGAACUUAGACUGUUACUUGGCUCAAUACAAAGCCAGACGAUAGUAUUUAUAACUUGCUAUCUCUAACAAACUAGCUAACUUACCAGCCCUCACUAACUACCUCUCUAACCGUUUUAUUAUCUUUAACAAUCCACUACUACUAAUAAGAGAAGAUACUUCUGCAGGACCUGAACAGCCAGUGAUACGAGAACUAGAAACUGCUGUGGAUGACGAAAGGCUUGUUGAUGUCGCAGAUGGAAGUGGGUCUGGCAUAAGAACAGAAUCCUCUAUUGCACCUCCCAAAAGAGCAGUCUCAGCAGUGCAAGUACUCUCAUUAACAAUGGCAAGUUUUGAUCUUUGCCAACAUAAACUUGAAACAGCCUGAUAGAUGCUAUAAACACUUAGGAUUUAAAAUGUUAAAGGAAUAAGGCUUAUUACUUUCUAUUUACACAAAACACGUUGAAGUUGGAGCACAAACAAGCAAGCAGUGACAUCCAAUUAAUAUCAUUAGUUCCAUUAUAGAACAUGAUCUUUUAUACAAAUACCAUUCAAAAUUCCAUAUCAAGUUAGAGUUCUUGAAGGAAAAUAGAAAGCAAGUGCAAACUACAAGAACUUAUCAGGGCCUGGGUCUCUUUUUAUAUUAAAAAGUGAUAAUAGAGCAAAAGAUAACCAACCUCCGGACUACUAUAAGCACGAAGAACAGUAAAAGGCUGUAGUUUUCCCCGAAUAUCAUAGAACACCACUCUACCAUUACCAGUACCAGCUGACAGUGUCCAACCAUCAUCUUUAAAUGCCAAUGAAGAAAAAGGUGCCUCAUAUGAAAUGAAAGCUGAGGGUCUUCUAGACCCUGAGUCAUAAGUGUAUAGCUUCUUAUCCAACCCAACACUAGCAAUAAUCUGUUGAAAAGGAAAAAGAAUAAUGAAAUGUCAGAAUAUUUAACAAUUUUUGAAAGAUAUCUUAACCAUUAAAAAAAAAAUUCCUUCAUCUCAACCUUCCAGAAAAAGUCAGCCUAUUCCUUUAAUUAAGCCUUAAUAAGGAAAAGAAGAAACAAUGAGACCUUAUCAUUGGAGGGUGAGAAACUAAUGCCAGCUGUCGGAGCAGAGUGCUGUUUCAACCAAGAGACCUGUAAAAGCCAGUGGAUUACAUAUAUGCUUAGAACAUCAAGAAUAUUAAGACAGACAGAGAGAAGAGAACCUUUGGGCUACGACCAGUGGUAUCCCAUAAAUGGACAGAUCCAUCAUCACCUGCAGUCACCAAAAUGUGUCGACUAAUCCGCGAAUAAUCAAGUACCUUUAGUUCCUGGUCUUAAAUCCAUCAGAGGAAAAUUAGCUUGCAAACAUGACUAAGAACUUAACAUAAGCACCCAAAUGCAACAAACUCAACAACCUGUGCAUCGGGAUCUUUUAAUUCAGCAGCCUUUGCCCCAGAAGCAAGGUUGUGAAGUAUCAGAUCCCCACUUAGGCUGAUGGAGGCCAAGUGCUCAUCUUUGCAGUUAUACAUAACACCUGUUAUUGAGCUGGUAUGACCUCUUAACCAUUUGAUGCAACGCUUCCGCUGCAAAUCCCAUAUUCUUACAACUUGACCACUUCCUCCUGAACAUAUGUAUCUGGAUCCCUUGUUGCUAAAGCUAAUAGCUAAAAUGGACUCCUGUAAAUAAAAGGGAUAUUCUGCUUGUUAAAUUUGACAAAGAAUGCCAUGGAAAUAAUUAUAUAUAACUUCAGUAACCAUUUAAACUAAUCAAGGCCUGACAUUAAUGAAUAAGCAAUUUCAGGUGUCAUCAACGAAUAAUCAAUUUUGGGUGUCGAGUAAAAAACUUGAGGAUUUUAGUUACGCAAAUGAGGCCACAAACUCGUUUUCUUUUUUCCCUUUUUUUUUUUUUUUGCCUAAAGCAUUGUGACAUCAAAUUUGAGGAAAAGGACAUCAUUCAAAUGCAAUGCAAAGUGCUAAAUGUUUGAAGCAAGCUUAUCUGUCCAUGCUACUUAAGCGCAUCCUCCUCUCUUGCUAAGUACCUCCACUAAUGUCAGCUAGAAACAUAUGGUAAUUGUAUAGACAGAAAUUUCAAGUCACGAUGAUAUUUUGCACAUUAUAGUCCUACACUACAGACAAUAAUGCAUAGCACAACUCGUCCACAUUAAUAAAGAAGAAAGUUCAGAAAGCAUGAAACUUCUCUCUUUUGUUCAUAAGUAACUCAAUUUACUACAUGAUUUAAUAAUCUACAAUGAGUUUUAUUCAAAAUAUCUUUUAAGUCAGCUGCCAAUCCACAACACACAUCCUAUUGGUAACUUCUAUUUCGUGAUGUAUGCAUUCACAACUAAAAACCUUAUGCGUGACAAUAUGGUUAGAAACAUAAAGUAUAACAAUUUCGGAAUUUAACAUGCAUAAUCUACCUGGAAAUGAACAUUAUAUCCCACUCCAAAAAAAUUUUGGCUUCGAUUCAAAACAAUAAAACUAAAAGUAUUUCAACAAUAUUCAACAGUUAACUAAGUCUAGAGAAGGAUUACCUCAAUGUUAUCUCCACUAUCAGUCCCAUCAACCGGAAUUGUUCCAAUCCUCUGCCCAUUUUUCUUCACAUGCCAUUUGACUUUAUCGAUUUUGUGUGGAUUCCAACAUGGAAAUAGAAAACAGCUUUUGUUUUCAUUGUGGAAAAUCUCUUGCGCUUUUGGAAUUUUGUGUCCACUAGUAUUUUCUUUCUUAAAAAGAAAAAAAGAAAAAAAAUUGCUUUUUAAUUGGAAGAAAUUAUUUUAUAAUUGUUAUGAAUUUUUCAUUAUUAAAUCAACAUCUAUUGAUAUCAAAAUAAAUUUGAUUUACUCUAUAUUUUUCUAUAAACAUUACUAUUAAUCAAUAAAAACAGGAAUAUGUUUGUGCUUUUCCAUAGUUAUAGCUCUGUUUAGGAUGUGGUAGAUGGUAUCAGUUGGACGAGAAGUUAUUCGCCACCCUCAAUGGCUAUGUACCAUUCGAAUUUUAUGGCUUUUGAUUCAAAAUAGUUAGCUCCAAAAUGUGGUUAUGUUAAGCUUAAUACAAAUGGUGUAAUUUCGUCUAGCUCUCACUCAAUUACAAUUAAAGGAGUCAUUAACUAUGUUAAUAGUAAUUAGUUAUGUGGUUAGUCGAUGACAUUAUAAGGAAAUAUGAAGUGUAUAAAAUUAAAGCAAGAUCGAUGUUAGAAGUGCUACAACUAACUUAGGACAAGGGUUAUCCACAUGUUAAGUUUGAAUAUAUGUUAUUUUAUUUAAAAAAAGUUACGUUCCAUAAUAAUAAUAAUAAUAAGUUCAGCUAUUUGCUGUCCAAAGAACAGUAAUUACCAACCUCACACCCAAAAACAGCUCUUCAGAACUUCUGAUAAAGAGAGAUACUUAUCCACUAAUACAUAAAAUAUUCUACUAAUACUUGCAGAUCAGUUUGUGGAAUCUGUUCUGGACCAGCAGGAGAAAUGGAACAGGCUAUUGUGUCCUUAGCUGUUGAAAGAAUUUCUGAUUUACUCAUCCAUGAAGCUGUUUUCCUCAGAGAUGUGAAAGAUCAAGUUGAGAGCCUAAUGGCUGAACUGAAGCGAAUGCAGUGUUUCUUGAAGGACGCGGCUCGCAAUCUUGAACAAGAUGCGCGUUUCCAGAAUCGGGUGUCGGAAAUCAGAAAUCUUGCUUAUGAUGCUGAAGAUGUCAUCGACUCUUUUAUUCUUAAAGCAGCAUAUCAACGAGGUUUUCUUGGGAUUGUCAAGAGAUUCACCUCCAUUUUCACCAAACCUUAUCAUCUGCACAAAAUCGGGUUGCAGGUCAAAGCAAUCAAGACCAAGCUCCAAAACAUUUCCGAGAAUCUUCCAGCUUUUGAAAUACCCGAUGAUGGAGAAGGCUCUAGCUCAAUUUUCAAGGUGCAGCAACAGUUUAGAAGGACAUACUCACAUGUCGAGGAAGAGGACGUUGUUAGCUUGGAAGUUAGCACGAAGGAUGCCAUGACCAUGUUGCUGUUUGAAGAAGAUAGACCCCACGCCGUGGUUUCCAUAGUCGGCAUGGGAGGCCUCGGUAAGACUACUCUUGCCAGAAAAGUAUAUAAUCAUGUUGAUGUGAGACGCCAUUUUGAUUUCUUGGCUUGGUUUUCUAUCUCUCAACAAUGUAAGCCGAGAGAGGUUUUGCUUGGUGUCUUGAAGAAAGUUCUCUCUCCUUCUAACGAUGAAAGAGAGAAAAUUGAGAAAAUGGACGAGAUUGAGCUGAGGAGAACGCUUUUUGAUGCUUUGAAAGAAAAGCGGUAUUUGGUGGUCCUCGAUGAUAUUUGGAGAAGCGAGGACUGGGAUAUUCUUAAACCUGCUUUUCCACCAGGAAGAAAGGGAAGCAAAAUAUUGUUCACAACACGAAUAAAAAAUGUGGCUUCACGUGCCGAUCCAUGGAGCACUCCCGUGGAGCUCUCACUUCUUACAGAUGAUGAAAGUUGGAAUCUUUUGUGUAGGAAAGCAUUCCCACGGAGCAAAAUGGGUUCUCAAUGCUGCUCAGAAGAAUUUGUGAAGCUUGGAAAAGAGAUGGUGAAAAAAU